UUCAGUACUCCAUGCAUGUACCGCAAGUUUGAUAUGAUGGAGAAUUUUUUUUUUAUAGUGUCAAAGUUGGGAUUUUGGGAACCGGCCCUCGUCGUUUAUCCGAGUCACUGUCCAAGUGUGCUUUCCGUGUCACUGUAGAGACACGGUGUACACAGCCCCAUGCGUCAAGUCCAACUGGCAAUCCCUGCCCAGUCACCGCCAGGUGGGCCACACCCUCCCACCUUUCUUCCCACCCUGCUAUAAACUACUCCUCCCUAUAAAAAUGUCACGAAAAGCCUGUUGUUGCCGUCCAUUAGCUUCCCCGGCAAAGCAAGAGCCCCGCCGCCCGCCGACGCCGAGCCACCCACCACCCAGCGGCAUCUCCCCGCUUGCUUCCUUCGCCUCCACUCUACUCCAAGAACCCAGCGGCGGAGAUCGGUGGAGGUCGUCAUCACCAGAGCAACCGGCCGUAGAUGCGAGCGGGCGCGCUCCUGCUCCUCCACCGCCACCUCCACGACAGCGCCAUGGACGGCUACGGCCACACCGGCGGCGGCUCCAAGGCCGCGGAUUUCUCCUCCGCGAGGGGUCCCGCGGGGUUCCCGCCGCCUUUGCCGCCGGAGAAGCGGCGCGGGGCGGCGCUGGCGAGGCGCGGGAGCGUCGGGGCCGCCAGCGGCCCGGCGGGCAUCGGGGGAAGCUACCUGGGCGCGGAGGCGGCGGCGCUGCUGGCGUGCGUGACGGCCACGCUGCUGGUGCUGCCGCUGCUGCUGCCCCCGCUCCCGCCGCCGCCGCCGCUCUUCCUGCUCGUGCCCGUCGCCAUCUUCGCCGUCCUGGUCCUGCUCGUGCUCGUCCCCUCCGACGCCAGGGGCGCCGCCAGCACCGCUACGCCCUACUCCUCCUCCUAUAGUUAGCUACCUUAUUAGAUUGGGCGCCCGGCCUUGUCGUCAUGUAAAUGUAAUUAAACGCGGACUCGGUGUGCUCGUCUUGUUCUUCAGAGAUCAAUCCAUGGAGAGGCUUUUGUUUUGCUCGAUUCGAUCAGUCCCGAUUUCGUCGAUGGUUCUUCCCUCUCUGCAUUUGCUUCUGCAAGUACGACGGUGACAAACUGACAACCGUCGAAUUGACUUCAUUCUUGCAAAGUUGCAAUCCAGAAUUCGACCCGGACAUCGAUUCAGAUUUGGAUCCUGAACUCGUAGAGAUCUCUGAUGAUUCCGCCUCCGAGUCCGAGAGCUCUGCAUCAUUGAACUUAGAUGCAGAGCACAGCGACGAUCGAGUGGCAGCUCACGUGCCAGCAGCCAGAUGGGCCAGGGUGAUGUGGGGGCAGAUUCAGUUUCAACUAUCAACUUCCAAGGGAGUCAGAAACUCGUACCAGCGAUAGUCGUCGUGUUCCUCGCGCAGCUUCUAUCCGCGAAACGAGCAGGAUCAUGCAGUUGUUAGGAUUUCCGGGAGUAGUCACUAGCAAGAUCUCAACGAACCUGGACACGAGCUUUCUCCACACGCUACUCUGCACAGAUUUUUUUUUCCCCUUGAAGUGUUGCUGCAGCUAGAAGAAAAGUAAAGUAGUAGCUCGAAAGAUGAUGCGCAUCGAUAGAUUGCGUCACGAGAAUGUUGGAAAAAAUGGGGGCUUGUUCGUCCAUCCAACUAUAUCCAAGAAUCUAGGUGCCUUCCAAAAAGAGAAAUAUUACGGGCCUUGUUAAUGGGUAUCCGGCUCAACACUAGCUACUGUUUCAUACAGGCACGGUUAUGGAUGGGAUGCAUUCCGAGUUUUUCUGUACUAGGCCGCAGAAUACAAAGCCCACACGGCCCUGAGCUUUAAACCAAGCCCACCGCCGACCACCACCCGGCCCACAUGGGUAUUGUCAUUUAUGUAUGGCGGUUGUAGUAGUAGCCCAACUUGCGGCGUAUGCGUGCAAUAAAGCAGGCCGCCCAGCGUGCACGCGAUUGAGCGAAUGGCCCAGCGGGUAGGCCCGAUGCGUGGAAGUAAAAGCGCGCGGCGGUUGGUGGUGGACUGGACGGUGCUCCCAAACCAGACGGAGGAGCCAAUCAUAACUCCCCUGACCAACACUACCCCGUUAUGAUUAUUCGUGUGGACGGCGCCAGGCUCAUGUGCUCGGUUUAGUGCACACUUGGAAAUGAAAUGCAAUUGGCAAGCUCAAGUAUUCGCUGCAUAUUAUGAGACACGUACUGCCGUUUUGUUUUGUUUUUUGUUUUUUUUUUAAAAAUGUUGCCACAUUUCUACAAAUAGCUACGACAAGCAUCGGGCCUAUUCGGCUAGACUUAUAAGUCGGCUGAAAAGCUGAAACGGCUGAUUUGUUGUGAGAGAAAAACACUGUUCGGUGGCUGAUAAGCUGAGAAAAGCAUUGUUAGCUGCAGUACUCCAAUAGUUCAAUACAAACGUCGAGAGAGGGCAGCUUCAGAUCGAGAUACCCUAUGCUUACUACCUCUCUUCUCUCUAUUUAUAUCUAUAUAUCAUUAUCUUUCCAUGCAAUGGUGUUUAUUAUUAUUUGACAUGUUAAUCCAUGUUUUAAGAGCUCUGGUAGGUCUCUUGUUUUUUUUAAGACGAGAUGGAAAUGAACAAAUCCCAGCUGCUGUAAAGAUAUCUCCAGUUUAUGCUUAGCUUUCAUAGUUUUCAUAGUAGAAGACCAUGAUCUUUUUGAACCACAAUGUCGAUUAAAUUUACACCACUUGAAAAAAAUACUAAACCUAGAUGUGCACUAAUAAGCAGUCCGUAUGGUUGUACCUCAAAAUCAAGUUUAUUUUCUGGAGAAAAAGAGGCAUUUGUUAUUGUGGUUACUAUUUAUUUAUAUUCAUAGUCCUUCCCUCUAUCAAAAUGAUGUUUCAAAGUUUGGCUAACUAUCUACCUUAUGAAUAAUUAUGAUCGUUGACAGAUCGAUCAUCAUAUGAAGAAUGGCACGUGCGCUGUCAUGUACUCCCUCCGUCCCAAAUUAUAGGUCGUUUUGACUUUAUUAGAUUCAUAGACUUUGUUAUGCACUUAGAUAUACCCUAUGUCUAGAUGCAUAAUAAUAUCUAUGUAUCUAGAAAAGUCAAAACGACCUAUAAUUUGGAACGGAGGGAGUACAGUUCUUCUUGUUGUAGUUAAUACUAUAAUGCUUUGGUUCCAAGCAUUGAGUAAAUCCACAUUAUUCCACAACAUUUAUUAAGAACUAUGUUUAUAAACUAAUAACUAGACUUUUCUGAUUUCAGAACUCUGUUUAUGAACCUAUAUACACAUAAGUAUAUAUCAUAAUGCAUAAGGGCUUUCACUUUAAGAUCCUACAGUGCACAUUUAUAAACCCCAAUACAUACGUCUUCAUCAUUUCAUGUAACCAUAAAAGCCGUAAAUGAAUGCUGGAAACAAUAAAUAAAGUGAAAAUGAUUGGAACAUAUAUAUACAUAUAUACGCCUAGCUAAAGACCAGAUGACCAAAUAAUAUUUAUUCCAUUUCUAGUCGAUUCAUAUGCUACAAAGGUCUGAAUUUUCAAAUAGAAAUUGACAUAUCAUUACACCCUCUAUUCAUGUGAUGAACUGAAUAAUAGAGGAACAUUGCAUGGGACUAGAACUGCCUCAUCCUACUCCAUUACACCUUAACCCAUGUCCCAGCCCAAAUAAUUAAGUCUCUACACAUGCAUAUACAUCCGUAUUCAUAUAUAGAAUACGUGCUACUAAGCACGCAUACAGGCAUGAGAAUGCUAGCUUAAUUCUUGCCCUAGAUCAUGCCUGCAUCAUAUGUGUGCGUGCAUGCCCUCGGAAAGUCACUUGAAGUUUGUGCAAACCUUGGGUGAUUCUAGGAGAGGGUUCCAGUCCCAAAUCUUUUCCAUGCUAGGAAAAGGAAGCAAUGGACCUUGUGAUGAUGGCAAGGGCUGGUUAGGGUUUCCCUGGUUACUGUAUGACCCAAUUGCCCUACUCAGCUCAUCUAUGGGAAUGGUUGCCAUUGUAGUGGAGUUUGCAUUAAGCAGGGCGUGUGUGGAAGAAGGCAGCAGCUGUGGGUUGGCGCCCUUCAUGUGGUAGAGUGAUGUACCGUCCUCCUCCGUCGACGUGGUGGAGCUAAGCGAGGCGGUUGACAGGAACGCCAUUGAUGUCUGAGGCGCCAUUGUUGCUGCUGCUCGAGCUGCAGCUGAUGAUGCCAUGAUUGUGCCACUGUAUGGCUUGUUCAUGUGAGCUGAUGAUGAGUGGCCACCGUCGAACAUUGGUGCCAAGCGUGGCGAUGCUGACGUCCGGUGGUGCUUCUUUUCCAUCGAUGCUGCCGCCUUUGAGCCUGAUGAUCUUGUGUUGGUGGUGAGGUGAAAGUUGUCUUCAAUCCCAGGACGUUUAUACACUCGGCAAAGGGAAAUCUCCUGCAUAUAUAAUAUGAAGAUGAAUUGAUCAAGAUUAAUCCAAAAUGAAAUUGGUGUUUGUAAACGCAGACAAGAACAAUUAACGCAUGCAGGAGAGACUACAAGUGUUCUUAUCCAUCCAGUGAUUUGAUCAAACAUAGUACAUACACCUGGUUAUUGAAACAAAGGAAGUUUGCAGCCAGGAAAAAAAGAAGAAGAGAGAUCACAAGUUAUAACAAAACUUUGUUGCGUUAUUGGAAAAAAAAAUUCCAAGGGAAGCAUGUUAUCUUUCAUGUUGCUCUAAAUAAAUAAAGAUAUAUAACGAGUUCAAAGUAUAAUUAAAUUUCCUUUUCAGCUGUGGAUCAUAUAUAUGUUUCAUUGCUUCUAGAGUUCCUACUACUAUUGUUUUAUAAUAACCAUGGAGUACAUGUGUUUUCCCCUUUCGAGUAGUUAGUCAUCCCAGGUUUCCACAUCUUAAAAAGUAAGUUGUAAACUUUUUGCAUAUGAAGGAUGCUGAUGAUGAAUACUUCCAAAAAGGAGGAACAAGCCUUUCCAAAGGAAAAGUGAAGAAAAAGAGUCACCGAUCUGUGAAAAAAUUGGGGAGAACCUUUUUUUUCAAGCUUCCUCCAAGUACUGAAGAAAAAAUUGAGAUGCACCAGCUGCAUGUGAUGCAAAUAGCCUAAUUAACUGUGGAAAAAAAUUGGGAAGGGCAUGCAUACGUAGAUAUCUAAUUCUAAUUAGCUAGGUUGAACCACAACCAUAUGGGGAUCUUAGCUAGAUCUUGCUCAUGCAAUAAUUCUAGGGAGCACCUUUAACACUUUUGCGCAACAGUUUGCCUAUACACAUGAUGCCAGCCGGCGAUCACACGAACAGAAGCUAGCUAGCAAUCAUAUCAACCCAACUUCCAAAAAGUGAGGGGAAUUUUAAGUGGAAGCAUCUUUCAUAGAACACUUUAUGCUUUUCAGGGAUCUCAAAGAAAAUUCAAAAACCAAUCCAAUUAAGGAAAACAAAAAUAUCCAAUGAUAGAUGAACAAAAUUUCUCAACGGAAAAAAGAAACAUCUCUUCACAUAUUAGUAGAUGGAAAUUGCCCAACCUUUUGGUACCGGUCUGCCUCGCCAUGAGGAAGGCGGUACUCGUUCAUGAUCCAGCUGCUCCUGAGACCCUUGGGCGCCUUCCCCACGUAGAACACCAGAGUCUUCUUCAGCCCGAUGGAGCGGUUACCCUCAACGCGCACCAUCCGAUCUGCCCCUGUGGCCUUCCAGUAGCCCGACGGAGUGACCCGGUUCGGGCGGUCGCCGUUGCGGUACUUGCGGUCUCUCGGCACGUAGAAGAACCACUCCUUGUCCCCAAUUGAAGCCAGAGCUGUUGGUUGUUUAAGUAGCGCAUCCAUGAUGCAUAUAUUAGUCACAAAAAAAAGCAAGCAUCGCAUGCAAGAAAAAAAUUUAAAGUAAGCGAAAAAGCUAAAGGCUCACAUGAAAUCAAAACGAGUAAAGGGGGUCACAUGCAUGAAAUCAUGGCAGAUCCCCAUGUUUACUUAUUGGUGCUAGCUUAGCAGGAGCUAGCUGGUAGCCGUCGUUCACAUGCGUUGCUUACCGGGGAGAUCCCACGGGUCGUAGCGGUAGAGGUCGACGAGGUUGAUGAGCUCGAUGUUGAAGCGCUUGCCCUCCACCCUCCGGCGGAGGUAGAAGUCGAUGAGCUCCUCCUCCGUCGGGUGGAAGCGGAAGCCCGGCAUCACCAUGUCGUGCGCCUGCUGCUGUCCAUCGUCGCCGCCGCCUGCGCCGCCGUGGUGUUGGUGUUGGUGGUGAUCUCCUCCCAUGGUCGACGGCGGCCUCGAGUCAUUACCUCCCCUCCCGGCAGCCAGCCUUGCUUUAUAGUAGAAGCAGGAGAAAGAUGAGGAGGAGGAGGAGGAGGAGGACUAGUACAAGACGACGGCCAGCCCUAACUACACCCACACGCCACACAGAGAGGCAGAUGGAGACCCAACUAGACAAGGGGACGGGGCGGCCGGCCUAUACCGCUGCGGGGAGUGGUGUGGUCUCCUUCGGCCCUUGGACGAAUGAGGGUGAUUGGUGCAAGUGGUGGUACCAUUGGUGUGGUGAAGUGAAGGGCCGGCUACGGGGAGGGAGAGAGAUAAGAAAAGAUUAGAUGUCCACCUAAUUAAAAUUUAUUAAUUUAGACAGCACCAAUUAAGAUGAGGAUCUGUCGAUAUGUGCCGGUAUUAAUGGCUGUUACUUUUAGCUUAGCUAGCUAGGUACAUACCACGCCCAAGAGUAUGAGAGAGAGAGAGAGAGAGAUCACUGUGCCGUCUUGUAAAGUAGCCCUGGUAAAAAAGAGAGAACGAUGUCGUUAGACUGCUAGGAGGUUCUUACACUGUAGUAGCAGUAGCUGCAUGCUAGCUACAGUAGGAACUGGAAGAGGGGACCUCUCCAACGAAACCUCAGCGGUGGCCUAUAAAUUUGAGCAGUGCUGUGGUGCAGCUGAUCAGCCUUCCUAUAUAAUGGCAUGUCCGGUUCAGCUAUAAAAAUGUUUCUACUGUUUGAGCGUGUAGCUAGAAGGAAGCCAGCUAGCUCAAUCGACUGCACAUCGGCGGAGUGGGACAGUGGCUGUGUUGCAUGUGUGAGAUAGAUUCUCGUAGCAAUUUUCCUGCUCAUACAGAAGCACCAAAUUCACAUAUUUAUCUUGAAAAAUCUCUCAUAAAGGAAACAUAUUUUCAGUCCCAAAAAGAUCAUCUUCUUCACUGUUCAUCUUUAAAAGGCCCUGCAUAUGCAUUUCACAAGUUAUUACAGGUGAAAAUUCAAACCGUUUCACUCAAAUGUUGUGUCUUUGUAUCUUGUGGUACCGAAAAAAAUUCAAUAAAUGUCAAAGAAAUCUGACAAAUAUAUACAAAUACGAUAGGUGCAGCAAAAUUAAAUAACUAAUCAAGAGUAAAUAGCAAAGUUUUGGAUAUUAAAAAAAUUCUAUGCCAAUAAAGAGGUGCACUCGACCGGUGCAAGUUGUCCUCUUGUAUAUUCACGCGUGCAUGUAAGCUAUAUUGGAAUUUGGUCUGCAGGUAAGUACGUGUCUUGGCCUCGUGCUAGCUCCUCCUUUUAUGCUUCAGCCGGCCGGCCGGCGUCCGACGACUCAAAUCAUCUCAUGCUGGCCCAAUUAAUCCUUCAGCUGUUCCUGUCUACCUCAAUAGAUUUACACUUCUUGAAAAAACUAAACCUAGAUGUGCACUAAUAAGCAGUCCUUCUGAUUUGAUUGAUCGCCCCCAGCUAUGAUCUUCUCCAUGAAUUAUGUAUGGGUGCGUACGUGAUAUAUACGAGAGAUUUUACGGUGCUUAGAAAUCUUAAGAGCUGUCUAUCGAUCCAGAUCGGAUGGUUAAAAAGUAGAAGGAACCUAUUACCUAGCAUUGGUGGGUCAGGAACUAUUUGUAAAAAUAGAGCAAAGGAUAUAUCUGUAUUUUCAUGACUCCCAGCGCCGUCGCAUCACCCCCGGCGGACACGCUUACGCGUUCACGCUGCCCAGCCGACGCAUCCCACCGCGUCCUCCUCCUCCAACCCUAGGAUCUUGCGGAGCGUGAGCAGGUCUCGGAUGCAGCGCGCGGACGACGUCGAGGCGGAGCCGCCGCCGUCGGAGGAGGCCUCGGCGGCGGCGUCGAGGCCGGCGUUGCCAAGGACAGCGUACAUGGUGCCUCGAGAGUCGGCGAGGAGGCUGCAGUCAUUAUAAUUCUAAUUCUACCAAAUAACCAGACAUUGACUUGUAUAAUCAGCAGUCUCUUAGAUCGAUUACAAAAAAAGCAGUCUCUUAGAUACUCUACAAGGGAUGUAUAAGUGAAAAUGGUUUAAUUUAACUGGAUAUACGUACAAUCAAUCCGAACAAUUUUUAAUAAUGAGUGGCCCACAGUUUUGAUGCUUCCCACUAUUUUUCCUUGAAUGACCGACUGUUUUUCUAGUGUAAUUUGCUUCUUUCCUAACAGUUUUAUCAAAUCCCCCACAAUGUAAUCCCCCACAAACUCAUUUCUCACGGUUAUGGUAUCUAGUUAUUCAAAUGUGCUAAAAACCGUUGGCCAUUUGUAAAGACACUGUUGGAAAAAGUAGUAUUCUUGUAGUGCUCGCAAGAGUUUUUAUUUUUGUAGGAGGGCAAUUAAGAGUUGUAAGGGAUGUAAUCGCCACCUCUAAUCCUCUCCGAUUUCCACCAAACUAACAAAAGUCCUUGAAGGGAAGAAAUUCUUCGCUCUGGGAAGAAAUUCUUUUUGCAAGCAAACAUGAGAGUAUUGUUCCAAUAACAAUAUUAAGCACAUACAGAAAAUAAUCUUUACUCCAGGAACAGCAUCAAGACCCGCACCAUUUCAAAUACUAGGUGAAAUUAAUUGAGGAGCUAGCAUUUGACCAUAUUUUUGAAAAUUUCAACACUUCACAUUUUUGCCCGAUAUGUACACCCUUAUAUAUCUACACACACACACACAUGCAGUAGUUAGGGUUUGGGUAUGCAUAAUUUUGCCUGUUUAUGGACACAAGUCGGCAUUUAUACCUAGGAUGUCCUUGUGGGGAAGUCUUGCCAUGCAUGCCGGUAAUUUAAGGCAUGUGCCGCUGUUUGCUCCAGCUAGUGCACCGUAGCACAAUUAACAAGAGUACAACACCUGUCAGUGUGUAGUAGCAGUGUCCUUGCGAGGGUUUUGGGGGAGGUUAGAACAUCUCCAUAAUCUCUGUUGUACGAGCAUGCAUCACUGUGAUCAGUCAAGGGAUACCCGUGACUUGUACUCAUGCGCAUCUGUUUGUCGGUCUGUGCGGCUGCAUCCGUUGUGCAUCGGCAAGGGAAGAAUUUCAGUAGCAUAUGUGCAACUGUGUGCAAAAAAAUGCUGUCUAGCUAGAGAGAUGAAUAUCAACUUACUAUAUCAUGAGUCGGACGUAUACUUUUCGAAUAGAUAGAGAUUGCAAAAGCCUAUUGCUACACAAAGUUUGGUACAACCCCACCCCAGGGGCUUUUUGAUAAUGCUCAUCAGCCAUGAGCUGAUACAGUGCGUCCAUCCAUAUCGAUUUUCCAUUCGCGCACUCUCACAAUGCAAAUGCGAUCUUACAAUUCGAUCGAUAUAAAGUUCCUUAGGUAGCUAAAGGAUCAUCCCUUGAUGUCGGAAUAAGGAAUUGUCGUUAUUCAUGCAAUCCUGGAUGGGUAGUUUUCAAAGCACAUGCAUCUUAACAUGAUCAUGAGAUCGAUGAAUAGUUCCGUCGUCACUAGUUGGAUCUUUUUUUUCAACCCCCUCACUUUUUUCUCAAUUGUCGUAUCAAUAUAUAAUUCCCCACACUAAGAGGUGUAAAGGAGUAGUAAAAAUAAUGGAAGGUAAACGGAGUGCGCCUAGAUUAGGAAUGUAUGUUGACAUCCUAUAUAUGUUGACUAUUACAGUCCAAUCAGAUGUCUAGAAACGUAUGUAAAUGACAACUGGACAAGAAAAAGGAAGAAGAACAGGAAGCCCCUCAUUCAAAUUAAAUAGAUGCAUGAAUGAUCAUCUCUUGAACUAUAUAUUCAUGUACAAUUCUACGGUCUUCCGAUUAUUGAUAGGGACUACAUUCUUGUUUAGUUUUACGCCAAACAUGGGUCUAAAUGAAAGACAGUUCUUCUAUAAACUUUUGGAGGAUUCCCUACCUUACAUCAGGCUUCCUGAAAGAACCAAUAAUCAUGAACAUAUUUUCAUGAUAAGAGCUUCCCUUUAACCUACCAGCUAUAGGCUCUUUAUUUGUCUCUCUUUGUCAAGCUAACAUUUUCUUUUGACUUAUUAAUACCUUGUGCUAGCACAUAGAUUAUGUCAUCUAAGAUUAAUAAAACCAUGAGACAAAAAUGUUUCCUUCCCAACAGUCAGACCGUUUCCAAAAUAUGUUGGCAUCAAAGCUAAAGUCAAGUAAUGUAGUAUAAUAUGUUCGAUCUCAACAACGAUACUAUCAUAGGGUAUAUAUGUAGCUGUGGUAUCUUUCAUACUACUUAUGUAUUCACCUUAAAGUUGUUCUUUGUUACAGCUAUAUGAAGGCUAGAUGCAUGCAUUCUUUUUUUUUAAGUAAUAGGUCUUCAUAACUGUACUUUCUUAAAACAGGGGGAAUAUAUAUAGCUGAUUUGCAAGCAUAUAAAGUUGCAAAAUUAAAAAAAAAUCAGUUCACCACAGGAAAAUAGCACAUAACCCGCAUUGUUGAUCGAGCAAGUUGCAUACGAAUCACAAGCUAGAUCGAAGGCAUUAAUGGACGAUAAAUUCUUGUUCCUUCUUCCACAUGAUGCACCUUUCAAAUUGAAUUCGUCAAGCGGACUCCAUACGGCAAGAACAGUCGCCACUCGGUUAUGAUAUGCUAGGAAACACGUAUGCGAAAAAAAUAAAUGGGUGGCGUAGAUUUACUAGAUCUCUAUAGAUUGUUUAGCAAAUAUCCAGAAAAAAAUUUGAUCCUUGGAAAUUUAAUUGAUUUGUUUGACAAACCAUAAAUGUGUAUGAAAAGUUCAAUGAAUGUGCCAAUACUUUGACUGAUUGAAUAAGAUGGCAUAGUUAUCUUCAUUUACCUGUGAUUGAUCGACAUUAGUUACCUAGCAAUUGCACCGUAAAAUCGAUCUGUGGAUAACUGUUAGCCUUACUUGGUUAUCUUCUCUCUCUUUUUUUUUACAAAAUUGUGGGGAUCAAUUCAAGAAAAUAACCAGAAAUGAUAUGAUCAUGACAAAAAUAUAUAGGAGGUAGCAUGUAUGGACCAGAUUUAGCAAUUCUUUAUCUGCAGAUAAUUUUAUAUGUACUAGUCAUCAGAAAUAUGUCGUCAUCUUUGAUGUUUCGUAAUUCAUAAUUGUAUGUGUGUAAAAAGAAGCAAUUAGCUAAGAAAAGUGUACUACUCCUACAACACUUGAUAAUUGCAGCUUAAUUGUACGCAAGGAAAGUGUGCAGUCAUGCAUGAGCAGUUUCUCCAUUUGAUGUGUACAAGUAUCAAACUACGUUCGCGCCUAACUUUGUUUUCUGCACAUCUUCCAGCUUCCACCACUGCACCGCACCAUGAUUCCAGCUCUUACUAGCUUGGAAAAGCAUCAUCUGUAAUACCUGCAGAAAAUUAAAGAGACGUGGCAUUGUGUUGCGUUCUUCUUUUUACAUGCCAGAUUGCAGCAUGAAAUGAAGAAGCCAUGCACCAGAGGUCGCCGACGAUGGAAUACACAGGAGCAGCGGCUGGCCGGCCGAUCAGUCGGUGGGGGCAAUUUAGUGAGUUCGGUGAACGGGUCCCACAUGCAAAGCAAGCAUAGGAGGGAGACGCCUGCUUGCUUUUAAUGCGGCACCGCAUGGCGCAUGGAAGAACCAAGCAGGGAUGCCCUAGCGAUCAGGAAGGCUGUUCCUAUUGGUCCCCCAUUGAUGGAUCGUCCCCAGUCUCAUCGCGCAUCCAUCUCUCACUGUCACCUCUUCUUCUUCCUUUUUUUCUCAGUUCUUCUCCCAUCCGCUGGAGGUUGAUCCAGUCUAAGCGUGGUCUUAGCAGCUUGUUAGGACCUGGCCAGCCAAUUGACCUUGUACUGUAUUACCUUGUGAAUAAAUUUCACCUUUUGUAAGUUCCAGAUGUUACGAGUCGUAGGAGCCAAAUAAAAGAGAGCAACCGUACCGUAGUCAACAGAGAGAUUUGAAGAAAACAGCUAGCCUCCACCCGUACCCAGCAGUAGUAGAAGCUAGCAAUGAGCUAGAAUAUGAGAACGAUCCACUAGAGAACAGGUACAGUGCUGCUUCAGUUGUGCAUGGCACAUGGUUAGUUUAGCGUGCAUGUAAAGAUCAAAUGAAAUGGUGCACUGAAUUUGUGCGUCCCAUGCAUGAGGAAGAGACUCUGACAUAUAUUCCCUAGCUUCGUAUAGAAGAAAAUCGAGGAAGAGCACUCUCAUUUGGUGGUACAGUUGCUCAAUAGAUGGAAGAGACGGCAAUAUAUUUAAAAAAAGCAUCUUGAUGCUAAAUAACUGUGGUAACUCCUAGUCCAAAUUAUGGCACAAUCGAUUUAGAGUAAAACACGACAUAUAAGAAUGGACAUAUCAAUUCUAGUAAGCCGACUACAUUAUUGUCUGAAACUAUUCAAGUACUACAACCAUUCUAGUGCGUUGGAUGGGCUGGCCACAGAAUAAGCUAUUCUAUGGCCGACCAUAGAGUAUACUCCACACACACACAUAUAUAUUCAGGAGGAGACUUGGAUUAUAUUCAGGGUUCUGUUAGGCUGUUGGGAUAACCACACUACGACUGCUUGUCACUGAUAGUGGAAGGACAUUAAUUUCAACAAGCACCAAAAUCAGCCUAAGAUCGUCGCAACAUAAUCAAAGAAGGAAACAUAUGCAUCAUAGAGAUAAUCACAACAACAACACAUGCAUUGACCAUAAGCACCAAUUUCAACGUAGAAACCCCAAAAUCGCGGUAAAACCCACAGGACCAAGCAGCCACCCAAAUAUCCAGAUAGCACUACAAGGUCAUAUACAUCAGUACUUUACCAUCUUAGACAACAACAUAAAUAUUUGGGGGCAAACAAUCGAUUAAAGGCAACAGUAUUGCGGAUCUGAAGCCUCACGCGACGCUGAGAACGGAUCUUUCUAACUUUCUUCCAAGAUCUUAUCCACAAUCAACUUCUUCUUCCUAUCUUCUCCCUCUUUCUCUCCGUUUCAAGGGGAUUUUUCCUUUUCUUGAACCCAAUUACAACGUAUGUCAAAGUUGUUGUUGGCAUGCUCAUUAGAAACUCAAUACUUAAGAUUUCUUAAUAUGGGCUGCAACUCACUUGCAAAUCUGGGGGGCAGGGGGGCUAGAGGGAGGCUGGGGUGGUGCUCGGUGAGUGGGUGUGGCGUGGGGCUAAAAAAAAGAGGUAAAGAAAAAAUACUAUCUGAUGGAUCCAAUGCUUAGGGAUCAUAUCGACUGUAUCCGAUUAUUUUUCUCAACCAAGGAAGAUAUGUGCUUCACUAAAAAGUUAACACAUUGUGAGUUGGACUAUUGGAGUAGGUUUUUCGAUGGGGCUGUGUAGAGCCCACUCGAGUAGUAUUUUUUGCCUAAUUCACGCUCGAAUUUAUAGCCAUCCAUACAUUCGAUCCAAUGGUGCAGAUUUAUCCCUUUCCUCAGCACUAUCUUCUCCAAGGCACACGUGUGUAGCUCGCCUACCGCCACCGAGCAACUUCCCUACACCUUCCUCGACACCGGAGAUCGACUCUGGUGGUGAGCCCCAGCCCCCCUCCGUUGAUCGUGGUAUCACAUUUUCCAACUUUAGUAAGCUUCUAAGUUCGUUCCCCAUUGAAAACCCUAACCUCUGAGCUCACCAAACCUCUUUAGAGAUAAAUAAGAUGAGUUGAGUAGCAUGAAGAGAAAAUUCGGAUGUCAGGGACACCAAAAUGCUCGGCCGGGUAUGAGAUUUAGCUUUUCACCUUUUCGUUCGAUCAUCCGGUCACCACCGACGACCUUGAUCACGAACGAACUGGCCGCGGUCGCGACGCGCUUGACAGGCCGACCGGCCGGUCAAGCUGGUGAUCGCUGGAGAGUCCAUCAAGUGUGGCGGUCCAGUUGGUGCACGCGCCGCGCCGCUGCCACGCGUGCCUAGCUAUAGCUCGCCUCGUUUACUAGCUCCGUCAUUUCUUUUUUACUCUGCAUGCGCGGCCUGCAGCAGCUGCCGCCGUCCGCUUAGAGCAGGCCCACAUACGCCAAGCACGUCAGCACUGCUGCUGACAUGGUAGAGAGAGGGUAGGAGAGUGAAGGGGGCGCUACAUCCGUCGAUCAGCGCAACGAGUUCCGAUGCAGGUCAUGGGUCCCGUGCGUGUGCAUGCAAGGAUGGUUGUGAGAGAGAUGACCGGUGGGUGGGAUUGGUGGUGGGCCAGGGAAAGAUUAAAAAAUUUAAUGUGAUGUACCAAGAAACAAGUUGUUGUAUACAUGCUUGUCUACAUAAACUGAUGUGUCAAUUCUUAGAGAUAAGUGCUUGUCUCUUUUAUUGGUCUUGCUCUUAAUUGCAUUGCGUGCUGUCAACCUACGUGUACGACCUUGCUAGCAAAUAGAAUGCUUUGAAUAGUAUAUACUACUGUUAUACGAUCCCCAUAUGAACAAUGCGCGUGUGUCGACUGCAGGGAAUCCAACAUUAAAGGAGGUGUUUGGUUCGUGAAGAGGUAAAGUAAUCAAUUUACAGGCGUUAAGCGAUACCGUUACGUAUGUUUGUUUCAACCUCCUCCGUAAUUUAAUUACCCGAAAUCAGAUAUCGGCCCAAUUACAGUCCCAUUACGUCCCUCCCUACCCGGUAUCACAUCGCAAUACCGCUCACCGAUGCCGCCCCUUUCUUUUCCCCUUAUGUUGUCCCUCUCUUUUCCCCAGACGCUGCUCCUCCGCCCGUGCGCUGCCCUUGCCACUCCUCCGCGCGAGCAGCUUCGCUGGCGACCACACGCACCAUGGUGAGCCCUUGCUCCUUCCCCCUCUCACUCCCUCUCUUCCUCGUCCACAUACCCAUAGAAGUUUCUCUCAUAACCCUAACCCUAGCCUCGGUUCUUUUUCAAAGGCUGUAGAAAGAUCCGAGGGAAAGAAAACACAAGGACGGGAGGAGGAGGAGAAGCUCAUCCGCCAUCCGUUUUACUGACGGGAAGAUCAACGUGCACCACCAAUACUCCUCCCUUGGUGAGUUUUGCCUAUCUUCCUCCUCAUGUAAGAUAUCCUCCUCUUUCUUCGAUGACUCUGAAUUCCCCUUGUUUGAUCUAGUUCUGUGUCGAUCGAUUUCUUGAAUCAAUGUAUUGUUGAUGAUGUGGUUGAUAACUCGAGAUGGAUCUAUGGAUUGUAUGUUCUUUACAAUUAAUUCUGAUUUUUUUUUGCUUCUGUUCAUGAAUACAGUGUGCAGUUAAUCACUUCUUGUCCUUGACUUGAAUCAGAUUCCUAAUUUUGCAUCACUGCUCCAAUUAUAGAUGUUAAUUUGCAAUCUAGUACAACUGAACUCGUAUACUUGUGUGUCAAGAUACUUCAUAAUAGAGGAAUAGAUCUUUGUUGGUAAAUUAGAUGUUAGGUUGUUCUUUUUUCUUUUUCUCAUCGGAGCAGAUACGACAAAAGCUAAGCUAGCGGUGGACGUCAAGUCAACGGAAGGUGCCAAGUCGAAAGAGGCAGCAGGAUUGAAAUCUGUCGGCAUGGUCCCGAAGCGAAGCUGGAUCGGGUUGGCGAGGUAGUCCUUCAUGCUCUCACGGAAGACAACGUCGGGGCGGGAUGCCAUCAUGCCUACUGGGGAGGAUCCCACAAUCACCCCUACAUGGCGCACCAACUGUCAGAUUUAUAAGCCCGGUAGUCCACCAGGAGGUUACCCAAGUGGUUGAUUUGUAGGUGGAGGUGAUUGUGAAACCAAGAACUCGAAGGUGAUCGCGAGAAUACAAGGGACACAAGGGUUUUAGACAAGUUCGGACCUUUGGAGAGUAAUACUGUAACACCUGCCAUUUUAGUCAUCAAAGUGACUUUGAAGAAUUGAAAGCAAUUCGAGAAGAAAAGAAAAAGGAAUUGGCCGAAAAUCAAAUUCGGGGCAAAUUUGACCGAAAUUUGAAUUUUGAAUUUGAAAUUCAGAAAAAUUCGGCAAAAAUAUGGAAUAAAGGUGAAAGAGUGAUUAGAACUCAAGGAUCCAAAUUUUGGACAAGAAUUGGUUCUAAUACUUCAAAAGGAUCAAAGAAAAGAAAUGGAAAUUCAAAUGUACUGUUCACCAUCCGGCAAUAGGAAUUCAGAACAAAAAAACAGCACUAGAGUCCAUUUUGGAAAUUCAUUUCUGCUGAAUUUUUCAAAUAAGUGGAUCUAAACAACUAUACCAUGUUAAAGUAUGGACUUUGGACUCCUAGAUUUGGGUGUUGUUGAUCAGGAAUAGCAGAGGGAACUAUUUCAAAUGAGGGCUUAAAGUCAGCAUCUCGUCACUGUAAUUGCAUCACUGAAAAUGACUAAGUCUGAAACAGCAGUGUGUGGCCAACUUUGAAAUGGAUUUCAGAGGAAUGUAGAUCAAAAGAGGUAGGUGUUUUUGGGCAAAAUGGAAACCUUGAAGAUGGUAGAACACAAUUGGGUAGAAGUUGGACUACAGAAAGAGAAUUUGGACCACCGAAAUGAUUCACUAAGUCGGGCAAAUAACCACCUCGAGUAACUGACGAACUGAAUACCGGUUUCAAUGAAGUUCAGACAAACACAAGAAACAAUUCAAAAUUCGACUAUGGUUUGAUAUUUAUCUCGGGUCAGAGCUAAAAUAAAAUUUGAAGAGUUCAAGUUUAUCUACAACUUCGGUUAAGACACAUGUGUACCGUUGGAUUGAAAAUCAACCGCAAUUUAGCUCUGAAGUUCGGGCGUCAGAAGAAAAGGAGGGAAACGAUGACAGAGCCGAGCUCGACGUGUCGCCGCCGCCGCUCUCGGUCGCUCGCUAGCGCAACGGCUACGCCACCUCCUUACCACGCAAGCCUAUGAAUAGGCCACGGUGUCGCCCAUGCGUGCGGUAAGCCGUUCAUAUAUUUACCGUUCCCGCGCCGCCGUUUCUACCGCUGCCUUUUACCGCCGCCAGCGCCUCUGUCCAAGCCACCGCCGCCGAGCAAAUUCCACCACCACCACACCACAGCUCCCGUCGAUUCCCUCCGUCCACACCUUCGCCCACACCCCACCAGCAACCCUAGCAGCUUGUUGUCCGGCUUCUCCGCCGGCACGCCAUAAACCGCCGCCGUUUCUGUCCGCCGUCGCCGCGCCUCCCGCUCACGGUGAGCACCCCCUUGCGCUUGUUCUCUUCCUUCUUGGGUAGUCUUAGGCAGGUCCUUAGGAUACUAGGAUGGUGUAGCCAUAGUCGUUGGGGUAGUUUGCGCCGUUGUCGUGCGUAGCUGCGACCGGCCGUAGGUGCCGCCGCCCGCCGCCGUGGAGGGGAUGGCUCCGGCCAUCUCCCGAGGAGCUGUUGCCGCGCGCGGGUGCGCGAAGGUAUAGAGGUGCUGUCCUGACCUAGUCCCGCCGCCGGUAGGGCGCCGGCCGGCGAGUCGCGCCGCCCCCUGUCGCGCGCGCGCGUUUUGGCGGGAGGAGGAAGAAGCGUCUGGAGCCUUGGGCCCGCGCGUCAGUGGGAAAGGAGAGGAGGAAGAGAAGGCCGGGUGCGCGGGCGUCUGUUGGGCCGGCACUUCGGAGGCCCAAGAAGCCGGGGGCGGACGGCCGUGUGAGAAAAGGGGCCGGAGGCCAGGAAGGAAAAGCAGGCCGCGCUGCGGGAAAAGAGAAAAAGAAAAGAGGGCCGUUGGGCCGUCGCGGGUGAUAAGAGGAGAAAGGAAGAAAGGAAUCAGCCCAGUAGGGCCCGUCCGGGAGAGAGAAGGCCGGCGGGUAAAAAGGAAUAGGAGAAGGAGUGGGUCCACGCCGUGGGCCCAGUGCAAGUAAGAGGGGGUAGAGUUGAGCCGCGUGAGAAAAGUUACCCGGGGGUAUUUUUCGGGAAAAUUAGAUUUCCUUUAUAGAAUAAUUAGUUUAAAUCCGAAUUUCACCAUUUAAAUCACAGAAAUUUCUAGGAGUGUCCAAAAUUAGUGAAACCAAUUUUGUUAGGCUUGUUUUAUUUUCCUUUAUGCAUUAAAAUUUUUACACCCUAGAAAAAUAAUAAAAAUUUGGGUAUUUAUAUAAUGCCUUUCUUUUAAGGUAAUUAAAUAAAUACUUAAUCUUUAUAAAAUGCAUAAAAUAUGAAAUAACAUUUUCAUAAUUACAAAUUAUUCUCAACUCAUAUGAAAUUAGGUUUUUAAGUUAGAAAAUAAUUAUAACCUUUUCCAAAAAUAAAAGAAAAACCUUAAGUAGGGUUAAGUAAGAAAAUAAAAUUGUGGGCUAAUCUUUUGAGGUUUUUGUGUGUUGGCUUGCAACUUUAUCAUGAUAAAUUAUAUAGUCCUUGUUGGCUUGCAACUUUAUCAUGAAGGAAAGUUGUAUAGUCUUUUAUUCAAAAAUUUGCAUUCCUAACCCCUGCAUGUGUUGUGCUAUAGAUCCCGAAGCACCAGAAGGAGAUUAUUUGGAAUUUUCAAAAAGAUCUUCGGAGUUCGAAGAAGUUUUUGAAUUGGUCCCCUGCGAGGCCAACCCGUCGGACAAUACUAACUUUUUAAGCGAACAAGGCAAGCUCCGGUGCAUUUAUACCUAUCUAUUUUGGAGUUAUUAUUUCAUGUGUCCAAUUAUCGGUUAUUUGCUAUAUGUAUGCACUAAGUCUAGAGUUGCUUGAAACCUAUUCUUGUGUAUGAUCAUGCCUUGUUUUAAGGACAUCUUUGCCACUUGUUCAAACCUUUAGUAGAUAACCCAAGUCUAGAAUUGCUUAGUUGCUUACAUACUUGGUUUACCAACCUUAAGGAAAACUUUUGAGUCAUACAUGUUACUUAUGGAAAGAUAACUUGGAAAUUGGGAAGCGGACAGAAGCUAGAGAUGUAGUUCUGUCUGCUAGAUUAAUUUGGUUAAGGCCCGAUUCGUUGUCUUAACCUUGAUCAAGUGAUAAGCAUCUGAUCACUUACUGGGUAUGGGACCAGUAAAGCCCAGUAGGUUAGUAAACUCUCUGAUCGGGAAUACUUCGUACCCGCGCUUGACGUGCUGGAGAUUGGCAGGGGCGUAGCCUGAAACUCACAUGGUGAUCGGGCCAGACGUGGGGUCCCAUGUGAGGGUGCGUCCCUGGGUCCGGGUAGUCUUAUUCCCAAUCAUUUAUUUUGCUAAUCGAAAGGUCGUUACGUACGACCUGGACAGUCGUAUAAAACUGGUGAUCAGGGUACUCUCCUGCAGGAUGUAAACUGAUCCGGAUCGCCGCAAUUCUCGGUUAUGAAUGCACUUGAUCACUAUUGAGCAUCGUAGUAUAAUUCAUGAAUGACAUAUCUUUCUGAUAAUGUUUGAUGUAUGACUUAAUAUCUAUUGUUGUGUUUACUUUCUUCUCAUCAUUUAGAAUGGUUAGGUAAUAACUUAACCUAAAUAAAAGAUAAAACUAAGGCAUCACUUAUAGCAAGCUUUUUCGGCAAAAAUGUAUCAGCCAAGUACACCAAAAGCUAUCAUAUACUUCCAAAGACUUGCUGAGUACCCCGUACUCAGGGUUAUCCCUUGUGGCUAUCUUUCAGAAGCACCGCAGGAGUCUACCGAAGAGGAAGCCCCGAAGCUCUAGGGUAUUGUUAUGAGUCUCACAAUACCCUUAGAAGAAGUUUUUAACUGCUCAUCUCCUCCUGAAUCAUUUAUGUUUUAAGUCUUAGAACUCCGCCUAACACUGCACUGUUAAGUUUGCUUCAAUCUAUGUUCUGUAAUAACUCGUACCUUUUAUAUGUAUGUAAAAAUGUAAUAUUUGUUGAUGCUAUCCCAUCGCGGAUACUAUCCUGAUGUAUGGCUAUGAGACACAACGUGGAUCUUUCGAGGAGUCCUAGGGACACUCGACAGACGACCGGACUUAUACUGUUUUAAGUGCGUUUCGGAUAAUUGCUGCGUCGGCAGCAAUUAGGCGCAUUUAAACCAGUUUAAGUCGGACGGUUCCGCCACAAAUACCCUACGUCAUGUAUGCUUGAUGGCUUGUAUUGCUUGAGAAUUUCUAUGUCCUCGGGAGGCGUCCCCAGCCACCUUAUAUAGGCUAACAACCUAGGGUUACAUGUCAGUUUGAAUCUAAUCUACUUGGUUGUUACAUGAAAGGCAAUCUGAGUCAGAUUACAAUACUGCAAUAUUUGGGCUGAUUUGAAUCGCCCAGACGAGCCCACUUGUCAGAUCCGGCCAGUAUCCUAGUCGGUGGGGACCCAUAGGGUACCCAUAUCCCUCAUGGUUAAACUAAACAUGCUCGAUAUGGUCAGCUGAGAGCCACUGGUAGUACCAUAGUAUGCUUUGUUUUCGUAUUGUGAGUGAAAUCGGGAUAACGGUAGCUCCCCAUUGGUUAAUGUAAGGAUAGCUCAUGCAUCUUUGUUUGACGGAAUUAAAGUAAGUUACAUUCUCUCUCAGCACUCGGCACUUCAAUAAAAAUAGACAACAUUGCAGACACAUGUUUCCUAUAGUAUUACUCGAAACAGUUUUUCCUAGCCCCGGCUAAAUAGGCACGAGACAUGAUUAGUGAUGUCAGCAAAACAGUUUGCCAUGGUGAGAUUCUGUUUAACUUAUUGAAGGUCAAUGGUGUUACUCGGUUCGGCACAAAGAUAAUCGCUAUUUUCCAAAAAAAAAAACAAUCCUUAAGCCUAGACAAAUAUUCAGUGCAUGCUUUGCAUUCAAGAGCUGAUCCUACGGCAAUGUCAUUCACAAUUCUUUAGCUGAGGCUUCUCAGAGAAGUAGUAAAGAACUAUGAUAUCUGUUCCCGUGACCAGUUGCUUAGUGAUAUGUUUAGUGAUAUGUGUCACUUUGCUAUCUUGUUUCGGAUGUUUAUUUACUACCAUAAUUCAGAUGCUUGCUCUUUCACAAGAAUUCAGUCAAGAUUACAGUUAUAUCAUGCCAAUAUAUUCUAAUAUAUGUAGUUGUAUGUUUGCAAUUUAAGGAUGCUAAUCUUGGGCAGAAAUAUUCAAUCAACUAAUGAUAAUGGAAGUACAUCUUGUUGAACAUUGUUGAUGAAUCGAUAUACCAUUAUUUUCAGAAAAAAAAUAACACCUCAUACCUUAACUUGUCACCAUUUUUGUAGAUGAGAGAAGAAGAUAGAAGGUGGAACUAGAUCGGUAAUCAAGCGAUAACGAAUCUUAAGUUCAAAAGGGUGCUGAUCAUGCUUGCUGUCUUCCAUUUGAAAUGUCUCAUUUUACCUGUCUCCUUGGUUAGCUUUCAGUCUAUGUUGAAUACCUUUUUACAUCAUGAGGCUGCAAAUUUUGUAUUAGUUAAACCUCCUUGUAUUAUAUGCUACAGCAUAUAGAGAUAUGCUAGUUGCUAUGUCUGGUCUCAUGAAUAGUUGUUAAAUUUGAAAUUUAUCUUCCAAUGAGUUGGAAACUAAAUAGUUGUAACGGUAUCUAAUACCGUUACAUUGUCCAAAUAAACAAAUCCUGUAAACAGCGAUCCAUUUACAGUCGCGUUACGUUACCAGUGCGGCAACUAAACACCUGGCAAAACUUCUAUAAAAAAAACAACUUCUCCUCGACGAGGCCUACCGGCCUGCGGGGCGCUGGGUUUUUUCCACCCCGAAAUCCACACUUGUGUACGAAAGGCCCACUCCACUACUGUCCGGCCGCCGAGCCCAUCAUUGACUUCGCGGGGCGCCGGGCUGCCGCGCGCUGCGUAGGUAGAGUAGCAGCAGUUGCCGCAAGACCACCAUCCCUAGCCUCCCACAUGUUGGGCUGGGCCGUCCGUGCGCUGCUCGGCCUCGCCACGUCCAGCAGCGCCGCCGAUCACUCCAUCACUGACUGCUGAGGUCGUCGUGCACUUUACGUGCAAGCACUCGCAUCUCGGAGCCCAAGGCAGCACAGACCUCCAAAGCCGGAGUGCAAUCUACUCCAGCUAUCCCUUUUCCGCGUCGUAAGCUAGCCGCCGUAGCUUCCUACGAUCCGGACGAAGAAGCCACACACGGCUUCACGCCGCCUCCAUUCUAGCUGCAUUGUCUGGUGAUCUCUGGUCCAGAGCAGCAGCGCGUCGGCGAGCGAAAGGGAUCGUACCAUGGAGGCCGCCGACCUCCUCGACGGGAACGGGAAGAACAAGCCGCCGCCGCAGCCCAGGCGGCGGCGGUGGUACUGCAGCACGACGGCGGUCACGCUGCUCAUGUUCCUGCUCACCAACACCGUCUCCAUCGUCGUCUCCUCGGGCGCCGGCCCCUCCCUCCUCCGCCGCUACAAGCCCUCCACCAUCCGCCUCUGGGACGGCUCUGCCGCGCUCCUCGCCGACCUCAACGCCACGCAGGCCGACCUCGCCGCCAGCCGCGCCGAGCUCGCGGGACUCUACGCCCGCGUCGGCACCGCCAACGAGCUCCUCCGCACCCUGCUCGACUCCAUGGCCGCGCGGGACGCCGCGGACAUCGUCGCCAUCGCCGGCGGAUGGAAGCGAGAGCCCUCCGGCGAGCUGAAGCUGGCCGUCGGACCACAUAACACGUCCAUGACCGCCGGACACGGCCGGAACGCCACCGGCGAGGCGGCGACGGCGGUGUUCCCGGCUCUGGGCCACGGGUGCGUCCGCGUCCAGGACGACCUCGAGCGAUACAUGAACUACACUCCCGGUGGGGAGUGCCCGUCCGACGAGGCGCUGGCGCACCGGCUGAUGCGCAGCGGUUGCGAGCCCCUAACGCGGCGCCGGUGCCGCGCGCCGUCGCCCAAGGGGUACCGGCAACCGUCGCCGCUGCCGACGAGCCUCUGGGUCACGCCACCGGACACCAGCGUGCUCUGGGACGCGUACUACCCGUGCAAGAACUACUCGUGCCUGGCGAGCUCCCGCGGCGUCGACCUCCGCCGCGUCGGCCGGGAGAAGGCCCGGUGGGCGCGCGACGACGGCGCGCUGUCCUACUCCAUCGCCACCGUGCUCGCGACCCGCCCCAACGGCACGGUGCGCGUCGGCCUCGACCUCGCCGGCGGCGGGUCCUCCUACUCCCCCGGCACGUUCGCGGCGCGGAUGCUGGAUCACGGGGUCACCGUGGUGACCGCGGCCGUGAGCGCCGCCGCGCCGCUCAACAGCUUCGUCGCGUCGCGGGGGCUCAUCUCCGUGCACGUCACCGCCGCGCACCGGCUGCCCUUCUUCGACCGCACGCUCGACAUCGUGCACGCGGCGGCGGGUGGCCUCGGCGACGGCGGCGGAUCGAGGGUCCCCGCCGACGUGAUGCUGGAGUUCGCGCUGUUCGACGUGUACAGGGUGCUGAGGCCCGGGGGCCUGUUCUGGCUCGACCACUUCCCCUGCCCCGGGGCGCAGCUCAACGCGACGGUGGCGCCAAUGCUUGGUCGCGUCGGGUUCAAGAAGCUCCGGUGGAACACCGGCCGGGGGAAGGAGAAGGACCAGUGGUACGUCUCGGCGCUGUUGGAGAAGCCCAUGGCAUAAGAAAAUUGUGGGUUUUUUUCUCAUAGGAAACUAGUGGUUGUAAUAAUCCUGUAAUGUUCUUCUUGCUUGAUUCCUGCUUGUCUCUCUGGCAUUUUGCACGAUAUCAUAUUGUUCUGCUUUCACUUCACAUUCAUUUUCUCUCCCAAUAGUUUGGUGAUCUUAUCAAGGAAGAUAGCAAUUUUUUAGAGCAUUUCUCCUUCUCCCAAAGGCUAUCGGCCCAAGGCCUUAAAGGAAAAUCGCAAACGGUUCAAGCCCAUUAAUAAUUUUCCCGUAGCUAGUUUGGCCCACAAACUAACUGAAGGAACGGCCCAUCAAAAGGCCCAAACAGCUCGGCGCACUCCGUUGUUCGUCUCCGCUCCGGUUCACGACCGCCGCAGCCUCCGCCGCCGCACGCCACCAUCAGACACCGCAGCCACCACCGGCGGCCGCACAAUUUGACACCCAGCUCGCGAAGGCGAACCAUAAGCCCUAGCCGUCCCCCUCCCGCCCGGAUGACCCCGAGCCGCGGCGGCGCGGAAUGGAGGUGCCCCGGAGAAGCUCGACGCCCUCGCGGGCUGGUUCGCGCAGUCCCUCUCCCUCGACGCCGCCACUCGCCGCGCCGCUGAGCAGAUCCUCUGCUCCGCGGAGUCCUCCCCGGGCUUAGCGCUCGCGCUCCUCGGCCUCGCCGCCUCCCUGCGGCACGACCUCCAGGCCCGUAUUUUUAUAAUGGGUGCUCGGAAGUGAUUGCUGUGGCUGAGCUGCAGCUGAGGCUGCGGCAGAAAGCCUGAAGCGACUACAGUGCUGCUGCAAGCCUGCAGCUGCUUGUAGCAGCAGCUACAGCUGCUAAGCUGCAUCCAAUUUUUUGACAUGGAGUAUCAGCUGAUCAACUGGCUGUGAAGCAACUGGUGCUUGAGCUACAGCCGAGCAGCUGGACUGUGCAGCUGCAGCUGCAGCUGCUGGUGAAACAGUCUCAUUUCCUCGCAAAGGAACACCCCACAGAUCUAAACUAAAAACCUCUCGCUGGACCCUCCUCUUGACCGGCAAGGUUGCAAAGCCUCAACUUUGAAGAACUGAUGUGCUGCUUGCAAAGAAGGGCUGCCCCCAUCAAAAAUUCCCUUUGUUGCUAGUAAGUAAAAUCCUUUUCUUUGGGCUUUCCUUACUUUUUUUAUAUGAUUUAUUCACCAAUCAGCGAAGCUCUUUUCAUUCCUUAUUGGAACUAUGCUAGCGUUGGUAAGAAUGUGCUGCACCGUUUCUUCCUCUUGAUCCAUUGAUAUAUUGUUGGGGAAAUUAGAAAACUGUCAAAACUCCUCUCAUGUCCCUUGUCUAGUAUCAUUGAUUCAUUGUAGCAUUUGUUAGAUGCCAAUUGAUUCUGAUCUCUCUCAAGUGAGGGUAGGGUCCCACGUGUCAUUGGGACAAUCAUAGUAUUUUCACAAAGCAUAGUUCCUUUUCCUCUUGAAAAUUUGGUCCUAACCUUUGAUUUUGCAUUUUGGCUCCUGCAUCCUACGUAGUUUCUUUUAAAAUAAAAUUUCAGGUGGGGAUGGUGAUUAAGAAGAGCAGCGAAACAGCUAGCCGAGCAACAACAUACAGGGGCAGAGAGGCACAUUGCUGAAGCACAGAACAUGUCAUGUAACACUUCAUUUCUUGCUUGUUUUAUUUUUUGCACAGAUCGCCGACAAUAGUUUGGCCCUUUUUCGACCCCAGCAACUAGCUAUGCUUCAUCAGAAUUCAGUACUCGUCUGAAACUCUGGUGAUCUUGGCCAAGCAGUUGUCCACCGGCCUGGGGUGGGGCAGGUACCUCACCCGGCAGCUGGGGUUCGUCCUCGUCAGCCUGCCAAAGCAAAGCCCAACAAAUCAUUUAAGAGAAACAUGCAUUAUUCAGAUAAGGUGUCAUAUGAACAAAGCCAAAAAAAAAACACCUGUAGUUUCUUCAUCUAAACGGUAAACCCUGAAUGAAAGAAGUUACCUGUAACCGAGGAGGAAAUGGUGGAGGAAGACGGAGAUCUCCAGCUUGGCGAGAUCGUUGCCGGGGCAGAGCCUUGCGCCGAGGCCGAAGGGGAGGAAUGUGCCGGCUCUCGGCGAGUGGCCCUGAAAGGAAACAAGAGUAUGAAGAUUGUUUGAGCUUCAUCAGGCCAUGAUCUGAUUGGUGAUGCUUCUAGGAUCGAUUUAUUCAGAAUGGCAACAGUGUCUCUGUUGCUGCUGGUACAGUACCUCCCAUCUUGAAGGGUUGAACUUCUUGGGGUCAGGGUACACUUGAGGGUCCAUGUGCACGCUCCGGUACCACAGCUGAACCUUCCAGCCCUUGGGGAUCAGGUACCCUGUUAGAAAAAUGCACACGGUGUUUCAGUGGAUUCCAGAUACAAAAAUGUGAGGCUAAUUCUGAAACUCACCGUUCACAAAGACAUCUUUGGUCGCCUGACGGAAGGACACGAACGAGAUGUUGACGAACCGCAGCGUCUCGUCGAUCACCUUCAGAUACAUAGGAGUUCAUCAGUACAGUAUAAUGUUGCUGGUUGGUUGCAUUGUACUGUCAAAGAAUGGAAUCUGGUGCGCUCAAAGUCACUGCUGCGUGAGCUGAAUAUAAUGCAUUUAAUUUGCUACAAAGAAAACGUUACCUGUGAGAGGUACCCCAUCUUCCUGAAGUCCCUCAGCGUCAGCCCCUGCUGCGUCGGUGGAAUGCUCCUCAUGAUCGCCUCCUGCUCUGCCUGGAAGAAAAGAAGCCGCAUCAACCAAACUGAUCUCCAAAUAAUGUCGUCUGAGCUGAAAAGAUUCAACCUUUUUCAGCACGAUUAUAAAUCCAGUACGGCAUACCUUGGCCUUUGCAAAGAUGUCGGGAUUCUCCUGCAGGAACACGGUGGCCCACAUGGUGAUGUGGCCGGAGGACUCGUGGCCGGCGUUGAGGUACAUGAUGAGGAUGUCGAUGAUCUCGUCGUCGUCCAGCCUCCGCCCGUGCUCGUCCUCCACCUCGAUCAGCCGGUCCAUCAUGUCCACGCUGCUGGACCGCGUGAACCCCUUGGCCGUCGCCGCCCGCCUCUCGUCCAGCACGCCCUGCAGCACGGAGACCAGCCUCCGGCGAGCCCCCAGCGCCCGCCGGUACGCGAACCCGGGCAGGUUGAUGGCCAUGGCGCGCAUCCCGUAGUUGAGGUCCGUGUAGCUCCGCUCCAGCGCGUGCAUGGUGGCGUCGUCGGCGCCGCCCAGGAAGAUCUGCACGAUGAUCUUGAACGUCAUCCGGCGGAGCUCCGUCAGGAACUCGACCUCACCGCCGUCGGCGCACUCGCCGGACCACGCGCGCAGGGACGACGUCACGGUGCGGUCGAUGAAGGGAAGGUACGCGGUGAGCGCGUCGAAGCCGUUGAUGGGCGCGGCGGUGAGCUUGCGCAGGCGGCGGUGCUCGUCGUAGGGCAUGGCCACGAACGACUUGGGCCCGAUGAGCGCCACCGUGGCCUUGGGCCACCCGGUGACGAAGCCGUCGUCGUCCAUGAGCACCUGCUUGCACGCCUCCGGCGUCGUCACCAGGAUCGUCGGGCUGCUGAACAUGAAAGCUCGGUACACGCCAGUGCGGCCAAACCUGCAUGCCAAAUUGCCAAAAAUCAGGAGUCAGGGCAACUGAUGAGCUCUCGUCAGAGUACUGAUCAAAGAUCAACACCAGACUCCAGAAUGAUCGAACUUGCGAACAUGCAUUCUGAAACAGGUCAUGUCCUAGAUGCAAACAUUUUGCACAGAAAAUCAUACUUGGAUGCUCACCAUUCAUUAGCAUUGCACAAAACAUGAGGUUAUGAGUGAAUUGCAAGAGCUAGCAGAGCCAGGAACUCGUUUUCUUUGUUACAGGAAUUUCUCAAAAAUUGGUUGAAUUCAAAUUUUUGUACUGGAAAUUUCAAUCCCUGGGGAAAAGGGGGGGGGGGGGGGGGGGGGGGGCGCCCCCCACCCCCCCCUGGUGAUUUGUAAAUCAGCAGGCAGAAUAUAUUAAGUCUUGUCGAGAUGCAUUCCACAUAAUGCCUUCAUUUCUGUAGUGUUUCAGCCUUUCAGGGCAAAAGACAACAUACAGAUUGCGGCAAAGCUCUGAAGAAGAAGAAUAUUUGCAUUUUUAACACAGAUACUACCCAAAGAGAGCCGCAGCACAUAUUCGCGCAUGAAUUAAAUAGUGCUCAGCAAAUCACCAUCAGUUGAAACUCAACAGAUCACCUGAGUAUUCAUAUCAUUUAUGAAAUCACUUUGGACGGACCGACGCCCGUCGACGACAAUGAAGAAUCGACAGAGACAAAUUUGGAUGGCACCAAACCAAACACCUGUCUUACUAGCAAAGACGAUUCCUACACUACAGCAUAUGGAUCAAACAACAGAUUAAAACUUUUCUUUUACAGGGAAAAGGAUAGAUAGGAUAAGCAAAGCAGCUGCCUUUUUGACAGCAUAUGGAUGGGGAAUCAGGGACGCGAUGGGGUAGGUGCCAAGCAGGGCAUAUCAAUCACCCGGUGUUUUGUUAUCAGCAGAGCAGAGGGCAUUAGCAUUUAUCGACGAAGGUUUUGGCCAUUGCCAAAGAUGGAAUCUGCUCUGAAUGCAGGCAUGGGAGAGUGGUGGAGGUGUUGGAAAUGGAAAUCAAUCAGUCAGACAUCUCCUUUUGGGCAGUGGGGGCAGCGCCAGCAAGCAUUCCCUAGCUCCUCCUCCAUGCAUCUGAUCAGAUCAGAUCAGACGAGCCAUCACUGACUGACUGGAUGACUGUGCAUGUUUCUGAACUUACGGCAGCAGCCUGACAGAAUCGUUGAAAGUGAUUCACUGACUGCUGGAGGUGAUAUGCAGGCGUGCGUAGCAGUAGGAUAUCGUGGCGUCAUCAGGGCGCACAGAGAACUGAAGACAGAAACAGGUUGGAGAAAAUAAAAAGGAGAGAGAUGAUGAUCUUGAAGCCACACUUUGUGUGUACGUGUGCCUGUUUGAGGUCCAGGGGACAGGUUGAAGAGUCAUCCCUCCUGUUGUUUGUGCUUGCAGGUGAUGGAUGUCUUUUGGUGCAUACCUAAAAGCAUCCAUUUGAUUGCACUACUACAGUAGACUUGUAGAGAGAGGGAGAGAGACAGAUAUUGCAAGGACAAGAACAUUUCGUUCAUGCCCCAACACCAACAGGAAUUGAUGUACAAUGUUGUUCUUGGCGGCCAAACCAAACCGCAACAAUCUCGCAGUAAUUCGUCAGGAGUAGAGUGUGGAUAGCAACUCCUGUCUGAAGAGGAAUAGAGGAUGGCUUUGGCAUUGGCGAGAGAGAGAAAGAGAGGGAGGGAGGGAGAGGGCGGUUACUGGAAUGGAGGAAACUGACCGUCGGAUGAAGGAGGCGACGAAGGCGUCGGGCUUGCCGGACUUGAAGGCGCGGAGGAAGGCCCACAUGGCGCCGACGACGGGCCAGCCCAUCUCCCCCGGCGGCAGCCGCGCCCGCCUCGCCGCGCCCAGCGCCGCCUCCCUGUACCACCCGUGGAGCCUCCGCGCCCCGGCGUCGAGGAGGAAGAAGAGGAGCAACGCGCCGACGACGGCCGCCACCACCGGCGCCCACCACAUCGCCGGUGGGCUCGCCACGCCAUCGCCCACACCCACGGCCAUCUCCGGCACGGUUCCCGUGCGGCGCCGCUCGCGCAAGCAACGCAAACUCUGGGAGCGCACACCGUCGAGGCGGAAGCGACGAGAGAACUCACAAGGAUGGCGAAGAGGCCGGAGUGAAACCGUCGCUGGGUCCGCGUGCCGCUCGCUCUCUAUAAACCCAUGAACCGUAGUAGUAGGGGCUGUGCGGGCCCACAGGUACACGUCGGCGCACGGUGGACCAGGCACACGCAUGGCUUGUGUACACAAGCUCUCGCUCGGAGCACAACAAUAUCUUAUCAUUAAAUCCUCAAAAAUAAGAGAAAAUAUUAGACUUUUUCUUAGAAGAAAAGGUUACAUUUUGUUAGAGAAGUUAAAUUCUGUUGAGCAACGUGAUCCAAAUCUAGAGUACAAAUACAGCUCUUGGUACAUUGUUCUUGGAGUUUCAUGAGGUGCAUACACCGUGCUGUUUAAUUUUUAUCACAAAAAAUGUUUGUACUUUGUAUUGGCCGGCCGGAUUGCUUGUAGUGUAAUGAGGCCGGUUUUGGUUUCUUCUCUCAACAAAUAGGGCUGCAUUACACGCCAGGUGUUGCCAAACACACGCACGCGCGUGCUUCCUUGUUGGUUUUCUAGUCGUCAUGCUUUAAAAUUUCUCACACGCGGCGGUGCCUUCUGGCACGUGUGCAGUGUGCCACCGUCGUGCAUGGACAAAUGUUGGCAGGCAGUUACUCAAAAACUUUGUAGGGAGAUAAGAGGGGCUCUUCAGUGAAGCAGCAAAGAACCUUUCGGGAGUGAUCAUCUUCAAGCAUGUAAAGAGAGAUCAAAACCCGGUAGCACACGUGUACAUGUAGCUCAUAACAGAAGCAUAAGUUGGUAGACUAGUCUUACUAUUUUAUUACUAAUUAUAAAUCCAUUUUGGAACCUCCAUGCUAAUCCUCGAUGUGCAAGGAAAAAAACAGAAAAUCUCCAAAAUUCUUAAAAAAAAGUAAAAUAUCUGACCACCGAGACUCCUUCAUAGUUGAUAAUAAUCCAUUAGAUAUACUUUCCUCAAAAUCACUCAGCUUUACCUUAUGGAUAGUAACUAAAGUAACACAUGUAUAUAAAUUAUCAAUAAUAACACAACUUAAAUCUACAUUUAAAUGACCUUAUCUAUCAUUAUUAAAAAUAAGCUAAAGUAAUCUCGCAAAUAUGCAUCUAAAUUAGUCGUAAGAAAUUGUAAACACCGCAUGCUUUUAAGUUAUACACUCUUGUAAUUAUUAAUAUGCAAAAGACCGACUCAAACAUGCAUGAUUGUGUCACCACGAACCACAUAAUUAAAAAUACAUAUUUAAUUAUAUAGUAUAUGCGUGGUUGAAAUUAAAUUGGGAAGCCAAAUAUAGCUCAUGGUAAGGUUUCAACAAAACACAUAUCCAAAACACACAUGGCUACACUUAGGUGUGGCAAAAAGUGAAAAAUCUUACUAUUACUAAUUGGAGGCUUCUUUUAAAGCCUCCAGGUGAAGCCACCUAGAAUUCCUAGGUGAACACUCUAGAAAAAGAGAGAAAUCCUAGAAAUUCUCACAAAAAAGCAAAACAUAUGAUCAUUAAUCGAUAGAUUCAAAUCAUCAUAGCCAUUAAAUCUAUUAUGUUUUCUAAAAAAUUACCCACCUAUGCCAUUAUGAAAAUAGCCUAAAGCAACCCCCCUAAAUCUAUAUAUAAAUUACCCACCUCUGCUAUUAUAUAAAAUAAACUAAAGUAACCCCCUAAUCUUCAUCAAAAUUACCCACUUACGCCAUUAUAAACAAUAUUUAAAAUAACCCCCUAAUUUGCAACCAAAUUGCCCACCGCUAUUACUUAAAAACUUAAAGUAACCUGUUAAAUUUGCAUCUAUAUUACCCACACAUGCCAUUAUUAAAAAUAACAUGAUAACCCUACAUUUGAAUCAAAUAACCUUAAUUAAAAUAUACAGCAAUAUAUGAUUCUAAAUCGUCUAUAUCUUGCACUAUUGGUAUAUGAUAUUAUAAUUAAGUUCUAUACACAUGAUGUGUUACCAUUUAUAAAGAUAUAGAGGAAGUGAUGAGAAUAUAGAUUUUUAUAUUAAAAUUGUAUCACAAACUUAGGGUUCAUUAAAAAAAUUCAAGGUAUGAAAUUCAAGCACAUACCUGUGAUGCAAAGUGAAAAGUUAAAGAUUAUAAAUGUGAAUGAAAAUAUUAUAGAGUAAUUACUAACUAAAAUCUAUCACAAUUGGAUGAAGAUAAUAAGUAUAUAUCUAUUGUGUUUGAAUAUUUAACAAACGAGAGGUAGCUUAUGGUAAUAAUUUUUUAGCAAUGUAGUCCUAUUUUUUUUCCAUUGGAGACUCCGCAUUAGUUCCAUGAGACAAGCUAGAAAAAAAAGAGACAAAUUCUCAUAAAAAUCAAAAAUAUCAAACACCAAUCAUGUAAACUCUAAUAAUCAUAGCCAUUGAUCUAUUAUAUUUUCUAAAAAGUUACCCACCACUAUCAUUGUGAAAAUAUUCAAAAAUGAGCUCUAAACCUAUAUCUAAAUUACCGAGCUCAGCUAUUAUAAAAAAUAAUCUAAAUUAAUCCCAUAAUCUUCAUCCAAUUUACUAAUACAUAAUAAAGCAUAACUUAAAAUAUCAUUCUAAAAUUUUAUCUAUAUUACCCAUGUAAGUUGUUAUUAAAAAUAACCUAAAUUAAACAUCUAAAUCUUAAUAUAAUUAUCUUCACGUGCAUCAUACAUAAAUGUCAAAAAUAAACUAAUAUAUGAUUCUAAAUUACCUAUUUAUAUCAUUAUUAAUAUAAAAAUACUAAGUUCAAGUAUAUACACAUGAUGAGUGUCACCAUUUAGACCAUUUAUACAUGUACGUGAGGAAUCGAUGAAAAAUAUUGAUUUGUAUGCUAAACAUAAUGUAUGGAGGAUUGGAGGUGCGAUACAAAAUGGAAAAAGUAUGAAUAUGGAUGAAAAAGUGCAUAGAGUAAUUAUUAAUUAAAAAUCAAUCACAAUUGGACAAAGGUAGGUACAUAUCUAUAUAAGUAUUAUGUUGAUGUAUUGAAAAAAAAUAAGAGAGUAGUAGGCAAUAAAUUUUGAUUAUUAUCUAGGAGUUUAAUUUCUAAAUAAUUUUCAAAUACAAUAGCUUCUAAAAAUAUUAGCCCGUGCGGGAGCACGGUUGAUGGACUAGUACUAUUAACGAGAAUUAAAGUCUAUCACAAAAGUAAAGACGAGCAUUGUGAUAGAAAAUAAAUAAAUGAGGGAGAGUGAAAAAUAAGUAAAUUUGAUUAAUUGUGGGAUCAAAAUUUAUGAAAAGGAUUACAGUACUUUUGGACGUAUGGAACCGAGAUCGAUCGGUUCUAAGGAAGGAAUCGUAAAAAAAAACAAAUAAGAACCCAGCUAGGUUUUAUUUUUUUGAGCGAAGUCAGGGAAGUCCUACCUAUUUUUUAUAAUUUUUUUAUUUCAAACUCGUUUAAUUCGUUCUCACGGGGAGUCAAAUCUGGACCUGCUAGAUGCUACUCAAGUGCUCAACCACUGGACCAGAGGUUUUAUACAUUUGGUGAAUGUCACCAAGAAAAUAACCAUGUAGAAAAUGCUUUGCUAAAUUGACUAGCUUGGCGACGAGGACAGGGGAGGAAUCGUAGUACGAAGAUACAGGUGAUGAUGGAUCCGUGGUGAAAAAGUAGCUUGUUGGUUUUCGACCUUUUGAGAAACAUCAAGGUACAUAUAUUGUAUCGAUCAGUGAGUAGCUAGCUAGGAAUGACACGGGCGGAUCGAUGAGAUAACUUUUAGGGUACAACAGUGAUGCGAUGCGACGACGAUCGUAUCGAGCUCGGGGUACAUGACCAUAGCCUCGAUAUGGUACGUGUGUGUCGCCACACACAUGUACACUUCGUGAUCAUAUUCAUACGUGUUCAAGUAACGAGAGUGACAUGCCUUUAUCUUACACGUCGGUGGCGGCCACUGAUGAUAAAGUCUGUGAGCAGCGGUACGUGCAUCAUGUGCAUGGCUUCAGCUGGGAUUCGAUGAAAUGUACUUGAUUUAGGAUAAAACAUUUCCUUUUUCUCUGAAAGGUAGAGCAUAUAUAUAAAAGAAUAAAAGAUUUAGAAUUAGGAGCGUACGUUAGUUUUUUCUAGAUUUUUACUAUUCUUCUCAAAACCACUUUUUGAUUACUAGCUAGCUAGUAUCUUGUACGAAUUUGUAGUGUUUAUGGAUUUUGCAAUUGUAAAUUUUUCAUAUGUUGCCACUGAAUGCUACCGCAAUGUUCUUCUAAUGUCCAGCUAGCCUAUAAAUUAAAUAAUCCUGGGUUUGCCACAGCUCGUCUUCACAUAAGUAGAUUAUGCUAGCAGAAUGGCAGACGAGCAUUUGCAUUCAGCCACGUACUUGCCGCUGAAAAGUCUGGUUCUUUAGACUUGAUUGAAAUGAAAUGGCUGCAAAAGGGAGAAAAAAGGUCCUGCAGCGUGUCGACUGAGUUUAUUCAGUCACAUCUUGCAGUGCAGAUGCCGUGCAUGCAGCCACCCUAAGCAUUUUUAAUCUUUGGCGCUAGUACGGUGGGAAUCUGAUCACCGCUUGCUUGCAUUUGUCUCUCCGUUUCUAAACCGUACGGCAGAUUUUAAGCUAAAAGUAUGUAUGGUAACAAUGAAUUUAAUUAGAUUCGUUGUAGUUUACUUUACUAGACGUUAAUCUCUUUUUUAUUAGAUGUUAAUCUCUUUUUUAUUAGAUGUUAAUCUCUUCUCUAUAAAUUUGGUUACCGAACAAUUUUAACUUAGCAGGAUAUACAUUGAAAAUCAUUUAUAUUCCAAGACAAAUGUAGUACAUCAUUAUGGCCGUCGUCCAUGCCUCUGCGAUGUGCAUGAAUGUGCCCCAGCACAAAGGGAUCCAUGAUGCUGAGAGGCUGAUCGAGAACAAGCUUUAUUAAGAGUUUGUAGAAAUAAAGAUGUGAAUGAUGGCGACUGUGAACCGGGUCAGAAGAUGUAUCUUUCGAGAGAUAUGGGAGAGGCUAAGCUAGCUUCUCUCCACUCCUUUGGGUGUGCUUGCAUUGGGGCCGGAUUGCCAUGCCUCGACCCCUACCCUGUCCCCCUCCAUCUCAUCCCAGCCCAAAUGGGGAGUGGCACCAUCCUCGAAUGUGACAGGAAGCAUCCAUCACAACCCUACCAGCAAACUGACCACCGACUCGUUGACAACCAAAACAAAUAGCACUAGCACAAUGCUAGCAUCUCCUUACAUUCAUGAGUCAUGACAUUGCAUUCUGGGCUUGUGGCUGUAUUUAACCAAGGAUAAAUCCAAACAUGUCUUCAAUUCUUGGAAUUAAUGUCCUAGGAAAGAAUACCCAUUAUUUGCAAGAAACAAAUUUUAAAGGGAGAAGAAUCCAACAAUUUUAGAGAGUGCUAGUGGCCUAGGGACCGAGCAGCAGCAUGCUGCUUUUUGGAUAGAAUAACAGGCAGCAGCAGCCACGCAUGCCGGCAUGGGGCCUGAUCAACUGAUAAUGCCCUAUUGAUCAAGAAAGAAUAAGCUAGCUGCAAGCUGAUGGACUCUCGAUCCCUAAGGGUUUGUUUGGUUGUAUGCACCAUAUACCAUAUGAUGUAUGUAUGAAUGAUAUUGAAUGGUGAGGUUCAACCAAUGUGCUUGUACCAUAUGGCUCACUCUUAUUAGUAGAAUAAUGUAUUAGGUGGGAUGACUUCAUCCUAGAUGGGAUGGUAUAAUUAAAAAAAAAAGAAUCAUUAUUAUUUUGCACCAUUCCAUACAUAAACCAUAUAGCCAAACAAACAUACUUAGUGUCGCAGUAGGUCCAUGGCCCCGAUGGCUAUAGGGACGGCUCGAGCAAGAGUCGUGAUCAGCCCAAGACAAAAUCACGCAGCAAAUCUCUAGCCAAGGCCACACGCUUCACACUGCCUUUUUCUGGUAACGUCGUCAUUAGGCAUUAGCUUUUGUUGCUGCGCACCCCGAUCCCAUCGAGAGGCUGGUUCUGUGUGCACGUUCCUAGCUCCUAGGCAACAAAAGAAGCUUAGUGUGAUGCAAGGGGACGACGGAGAGGAUGAUAGCUUCGCUGCUGGACCCCACCACCGCCACGGCGGUUGAGCCGUCACGAGCUCACGACGUACGACGCCGCCUGGUGCUGACUUCCAGUUGCUCGGAAAUUCUCAGCUCUGGGCCGCCGCCGACCGCCGUCGUGGUUGGCCGGCCGGCAGGAAGAAAGCAGACCGGCCGGCAGAGCUAUCACCAACACCUUGGCACCUUGUCGAAAUGGGAGGUCGUACCAAAGGCAAUGGCGAUGGAGAAGGGAGAUGUUACCUGUCUCUAAAAGUGAGUUCGGCUCAUUUAGCGCUCUGCUCAUUAGUUUCUAUCUAGGGGCCGGCAGAUGGUAUCUCUCUCUCCCCCUCUCUAGAAAAAGAAAGUCUCUAGGAAAAGAAAAGUGGAGAAGAUACGCUACAAAAAGAUAAAAUCCUAGAAGUAAACUCUAGGUGUAAACAUCAACCGCCAUUCUAGGUGUAAACAUCAACCGCCAUUGUGGAUAUAAGGACCCUAUUUAUUUGAGAUUAUAAUCCAUUAGAUUAUUAGAUUAUGUGUAAAGGGUAGUAUAAUAAAAGAUCAUAUUGGGACCACAUUGGGAUUGCAAAUAAUCUGAAAUAAGCUAGUGGUCUGGCUUAUAUACUCCCUCCGUCCCACAAAGACUGUUCGUUUAGAAAAUUUUAGACAAGAUAGUAGCAAUGUUAAAAGUCCAAAGUACCCCUAAUAACUCUUCUUAAUCGGAUGGAUUAACAAGUAGAAUUAAUUAUACAUAUACGCUUGCAAUAAUUGUCGGACCUAUUAGCCUUCCUUGUUUAGCGAGUUUGGCUCGAGCAUCGAUAGUGGGAGUAAAUGAUCGAUUCGUUUAUUGAACCAGAAGGUAUUAUGAGGACCUUUGUUGGAUGGUCUGAAAGUUAUAUAAACACUCUUUGUGGAACAAGUUUUGGAAGCUAAACGAACAGUGUCUUUCGGGAUGGAGGGAGUAAUCUAGAAGGCAAACAAAUAGGCCCUUUCUAAAUUAACCACCUUUAUUUUCCGUUAUAAAAAUAUAACCCUCGAAAUAUGGAUCUAGAAUGCCUAUCUCUCUACCGCUAAUGAAUGGUAAUCUCAAGCAACCCCCAACACUUUGCCAUUGUGAAAGUCUCAAACGCAUCCGUCUCCAAAGCUAACUUCAGAUUCACCCAGAUUCAGACUGAUUCAGCAUGAAGAGCCCCUUGACAGUACUGCAACUUCCCGGCUACUGCUAUCAUCACAUCACCCUGCGAAUCUCUGAUGGCAUGGCCCAAAGCUCCCUCACCAGUCACCGCUACUCUUCUUGUGAAAAGCUCCAUCAGUAUUGGUUUUCAGGACAUCUACCGGUGGGCGCCUCCAACAAUAUCCUUUUGUCUCUGCGAUCUGACAGACAUUUGUUGGCCUUCUCCUAUUUUUCAGAAAUUCGUCAGUGUACUUCCACCAUGCAUUGCCACAUACUACUGCUGUAUGCAGGAGAAGGAGCAGAGGAUUGGUGGCGACUCCAAUCCCUUUCCUUCUAGAUCAAUUUCCUCCCAGAUCUUCAGUACCCAUUUACGUCUUGUUUGGAUCCGUCCAACUAGCUAAACUUCAGAAACUUUUUAAAAUUUAGCUAGGGGUAUUUGGAUCUACCAACUAAAUGAUAGUUAAAGAGCUAUUUGUCUAUUCUAGCCCCUCCCAAUUUAGAAACUUUUCCCAAGGAAGGUGGGGUAAUUUGGUUUUAACAGUUUAGCUAAGUUUAACCGGCUAAACUUUAGCUGAGUCCUGUUUAGAUCCAUAGCAGCUAAAUGUAGCCAGCUAAAAUUUAGCUGGUGGAUCCAAAUAGAGCCUUACACUUGAAAAAAAAUGACAUUGUUAUUUAACGCAUGUUUUAUUUUUAAAAAAAUUACCGUGCGUUGCUACGGGCAGUAAAAUAUUUCAGUGCAAUAUGAAGAGCAUAGGAAAUAUGGUGUUGAUCUACUUAACGUGUUGUUUAAGGCUCAUUGAAAUCCACAAGCAUCAACAUUGGCGUAAUAGUGAUAAACCAAGCAUAAACAUAGUAUACAAAAAUAGUUAAUUCAAGUAAAAUUAUAAUCCAACACCAUGUCUCAGUUCAAGUUUAACACAACACUUGAAACUGAAUAUACAUUUGCUCUUUGCCUUAUGUCCAACUAUAGUAACGAUUCAAGCUCACUGAACCAAACGGCCUGAACAGACCCUAGAUAAACAACCAGUCCUGAAAAUACCAGGACAGUACCUUCCCCAAAGCCCAGUCAGCAGAAUCAAAGUAAGCUCUUUCAUGGUCCUCAUAUGAAACUUUAAACAUAGGUAAGAGGACAUGGACAUUAGAGACAAAAAUAAAUUAACUUCUCUUGUUAUGGUGAAUGCAUACCAUCUCUUUCAUUGUGAUCAAAAGCUUCUACUUUCUCAUCAGAUGUAACAGAAAUCUGACAUAAAUCUACUUUCUCAGGACAAAUACGGAAUUCAGACAUAAAUCUUGAUAUGAUGAACAAUAUCAGUGUAUAGGAUACAUACAGAUCACUACAUCCAAAUAAUAGACUAUUUAUGACUUAGAUAGGACCAAAGUUAUAAUUCUGAUAUGAAUAGCUUAAACUCCUCACUAAAUAUUUGACUACUCUUCCACCUGGAGCUUAACAGUAAAGACCGCGGUAAUAGUGAAAAUGGUGCAAAGUAUGAGGCUUAUGAAAUAUGGUGCUCCUUCCAACCUACAUGAGUCAUUCUAAUUCUAAAUUCACCCCAUAGUUAAAGUUGAGUGACAUAUAUUACCCAAAACAUGCAUACCAACGGACCUGCUUUGCUCCAAAAAAAAGAAGGAAAAACAGAUGUCAAAGAAAAGGAAAAAAAGAAAAAAAAUGACCAUAUUUGGAUGAGAGCGGGUGUCAGUGUCCAAAAGUCAUAAGCAUAUGAAGGGAACAUGAAGUGGUGGAAAUAGUCAAUUCAUAAAGAAAAAGAUUUGGCAUACCACUGAAUUAGUAUAAGUAAGAAAUUAUAGCAGCUGUUCCUGUAAGCACCAUUCAGCUAGACACAUGUUUCUGUAUCAGAAAAAACUUAAUACUUUUAACAGCUUUUUUAUCACCAUUGUGAUCACUCAACACAUUUGGCAAGCCAUUCAUUUAGCGAUUUCACUAUCCUGCCUAUCAAGAACAGGUGUAUUUACAAAAAAGUAACUGCUGUGUCAAACAGAUUCGGGAUGUUCUACACCACCAGUUACUGCAUACAAACAGUCAAUACUGCAAUUCAAAAUUCCCAUAUAUAACAACUAAAUUCUAUGCUACAACUCUAUAGAGUUCACAAUUCAGUUCUGUAAUGAGGAGAAGCCAGAUUAGUCUGACCCUGUCAAAUUCUGAAAGAUCCAAAACCCACCAAUGCUAAGCAUGCUGAUCACCCUACAAAAUGGCCACACAUGUCAAACACUAAAAUAAGAUAUAUAGCUUUGGUUAUCACUGACCACAUCUUGACCAUUCCAUAGGCACAAUGAAAUGGAAAUAGUAAGAUCAAUUGAGAAAGUUUGCAUUCUACUAUGUACAACCUAACUAAAAAGCCAACACGGCAAACAAAGAAUCACCCAUGCAAACGGCACCCGAGCUAAUACAGUUGUUUGCUGUACUUUCAGUUUAUGAGCUGAAAACUAAUCUAAUGGACUACCACAAUUUGGCAAGCUUUCAGUCUAUGAGCAGCAAGAAAUAUAUAUAGCUCAAUUGAAAGAACAAUCGCUAAGCCAACAAUCAGCAAAGAGCUCACAAUCAUAUCUUAGCACUCUUGUCGUGCCAUUCGGCCAUAUGCAUUUUAAUACAUGUGGAAGCCAAUUUCACAAACAAGUAGUAAGUACCUCUGAAAAACAAUAUGCUCAUACUUUGCAUUGUAGCUUAUGUCAUCACACUGCAUGAAGUAAUCAGAUAAAGCCAUCAGUUUAUCAUACAUUCAUACAAGGGAUCAAUAUUGCAACACAAGAUGAAAACAAAAUAUUCAUGACAAUGUAGCACAGCUGGUUUGGAAUAUGUGCCCACCACGUUUUGUAAAAAAGACAUCUAGAAUUAAAUAUAGGCUCAUAAGGAAAUUUAACCCUUGUUCCCUAAAAUCAUCAGGGCGAUUUCCCCUCCCUGCGCCUGAGUUAUCAGCCGGCCCUUUAUCCCUAAAAUCUCUGAAGUCCCCUUCUUAAUUACGGAGAUAAUGGAAAAGGGAUAAAGGAUAAUAUAUUUGCCUUUGUAUUGAUGAGAUAAUGGGAAAGGGAUCAAAGCAUUGUCAUCUCAUACGUUCCCUGUUUUUUUGGGAACUUACAGCAUUUGCAAUAUGAAGCUGUAAUACACUAGGAUAGUAGGAUAAAAUGUGAUGCUUCACCAUAUAAUUCAGAAGAUAGUAAAAUAUUGUCCAAUGAUAAAGUAGGCCUCAUGUAGUGUACGAUAAAACAUCAGGGUAUUUUUAUCAAGCUAAUAUUCCCUACCAGAAUACAACCCACCUUCUCAGCUCCAUGCCGAUUGAAUUGGACAGAGAUCUAAUCAGGCUUCUAAGAUCUUAUGACAAUCGGGACCAAUAAAUUUCUUAUCAACUAAAAAUUAUAUUAGAAACCAAAUCAAAAGGCUUAGAAUACAAAUGCUUGCCACUUGCAGGAAGAUCAGAAGAAUCAUUUUGUUUUUCCAUUCUAACAAACUUUACUUCAUUGUGUAUAUGUAACCUAAUGCUAUUGAAGAGAGUAGCAGCAUCUUACUGCGGCAAGUAACUCAUGACCGAUUAGGGAAAAUAGGUUAACAACAUAAAGUGUGGUUCAUAUGAUGGGACAUUAUUAAUCUGAUUAGUACAGUUGAAGUGAGAAGGAAAUACUGAUAUAAGCUGCAAUAAGCAAGCUUACCUUGCUUUUGUGUGACAGAACGUUAACCUAAUAAUCUCUCACUUAAAAUAAAUUAAAAUGCCAAAUAGUACACAAAUAAUAGAAUGGGUUUUACAAUUCCAAAGCACAAACUAAUCUUACAAUUAUUCAGGAAAAGGAUCAAUAAGAAACAGCCUAGUGCAGGAAGCAAGAGAUAAAUUGGUCUUGCAAUAAAGAGGAAAGAAACCAACACACCCAUGUGGUGAACAUAAUAAUAUAAAAUAUAAAAAGAAAAUGCAGUAUAGUUAAGAGGAUGUAGAAAUGCCUAGAAGAAUUUGUUUGAACUUACCAUUGUCCAUGAAAUGAGGCAGUAUGUGCAGUCCACUAUUCAUGUAAAAAAGUUUAUGCGCUGAACAACCCUUCAGGUCAAAGGCGAACCAGAUUUUGUGCCCCUAAUUCGAGUAAGCAAAAUGAUAAAACAAGAAGGAAAGCAUCAAAUUUUCACCUGGAGCAGUGGAGCACGUAGUCUCCAACCAUUCUUUAAAACUCUCCUCCAUUCUGCUCACCUCCUUAAAAUCUAUAAAUUGAGGGAUGAGUUCCUUGGCCUCCGAUCCAUAUUCUUCAGGAGCAUGCAAAUCCCACUCUCUUCCUCACGGCUUUUUAAUAGAGCGGAAUGCAGUUUGGCCACCUACAUGAAGGGGAUUUAGACCAGCGGCUGCUCAGUUCCAAAUCGUGCGAAGAACAAGAUCUAAAAUCCAUGUGGAGUAACUGUAGCAGUGGUGGGACGGCUUCGCGAUGGUUGCAUCAGUGGUGGCGCGGCGGCCCUUACCAGCGCGGCGACGUUUCACGCAAGGUGAUGACCAAGGCACCAGAUGUCGUCGGCGCUCUCCUGGCCCUCCCCUUGCAGGAUGGUACCUUGGCCUGCACGAGCGUAGGCAAGCGCAGGUGCGGCGGUCGCCCUCACGCCCGUCCUCCGUGCCGGACUGGAGGAAAUCGGCUGCAGACGAAUGCGGGGGAGGUGCGGCGGAUCAGUUAAGCAUCAUGUGAAUUUCAAGACAGGAAUUUUGAUGGGUGAGGAGCACCUCGAUGGGGAUGGAUGGGCGACUAGAUUGGGGCGCCACCCCUCCCACUGUACAGGAUCCGCCGCCGGGAUGGAUCGGGGGGCACCGCCUCUCGCUGUCGAAGCGCCGCCACUCUUGACGGCGGCGGCGGCGCAGGUGUUGCGGCGGCGGUCGGUGUGGCAAAAUCCUGAACGACGGCAUCGGUGUUGCGGCGGCAGUGGUGUCGGUGUUGCGGCGACGGCGGCGGCGGUGCUAGAGGAUCUCACGGCGGCGGCGGCGGCGGUGUUUUGCAAUGGAGGCCGAUGGAGAUGCAGGACGGGGAACCCUGGACGGCGGCGGCGGCGUUGCUGCGAUGGGGAGGGAAACUGGACCAGGGAGUUGGAGGCGGAGAGAGUUGGCGGAGGGAGGGCGAUUGAUCGUAGGGCCAGUGCUGCGUCGGGGUCUCGUCGGGCCGAGGGACGGCUCGAAGCCAACCCCGAGGAUCGACGGCGGAACGCGGCGGGCGCGGACGCGGGCGCGUUUGCAGGCAACGGAGGGCCGCUAAUCGAUCGAGGCGGACCGAAUUUUUACUCGGUUUUGUUUUUUUAGCUGUAGAGAUUUAACACAUGUUUGUCAACAACACAAGCAGGCAAGCAGCAUAUCUCUCGCACUCGCUCACUGUCACAGUGGACCCACACACACACACACACACACACAACCCCCUUACAGAUGGGCCACGGCCAGCAGCCCAGCACAUCACACGCGCUCAUGUCUUGGUUUAUGGGCUGAAACUUAAUUAGUAGGAGAUGUCGUCGUGGGCUGCAACUUUACGGGCUCGUCCAACUUCCUAGGCCCACAAUAGCCAACCACGAAUCCACGAUCCACUUGAAGGUAAAUUGUUCCUCUCAAAAAACAAAAAACUUGAAGGUAAAUUGUUUCGUUGUGACACAUGGAAAUCAAGCUGCAGCUUAUAAUUAAUUACUCCGUAACUGCGAGUUGUGAAAUCCUUCCAUGGCCGUUGUUCUUGGUGGUGAUCUGAGCCCGAGCUCCGUCCGGCGGCCGUCAAGCACGUCACCUCCUGGGCUUCCGGAGCAGCGCGGAGAUGUACCACUCGUCCAUCUCGACGCCCCGGUCGAGCUUCCGCCCGGCGUUCCACCGGAGCUUCUCGAACCCGAUCCGCUCAAACAUGGGCACGUACGUGGCGUCCAGCUGCGCCCCCAGGCCGAAGAAGUGGUCGAGCCAGAACACGCCGCCGGGCCGGAGCACCCGGAACACGUCGAAGAGCGCGAGCUCCAGCACCGCGUCGGGGAUCCAGCCGCUGAGCACGUGCAUCGAGUGCACCAGGUCCAGCGCCCCGUCCGGGAACGGCAGCCGCGCCGCCACGCUCAGGUGCAUCGCCACCAGCCCCCGCGACGCGAUGAAGCCGCAGAACGGCCCGUCGAAGUUCAUCGACGUCGUCACCACCGUCACGCCGCGCUCACGCAUCCGCGCCGCGAAGGUGCCCGUCCCGCCGCCGAUGUCCAGCCCGAUCCGCGCCGUGCCUUUUGGAAACGUGGCGAGCACGCCGUCGAUGGUGUAGUCGAGCGAGUUCUCCUCCCGGUCGUCGUCGUCGUCGUUGUUGCCGGCGCGGCGCAUCCAGCGGUCCUUCUCCCGGCCGCGGAGGUCGAAGCAGUCCUUGCAGUCGUAGCUGCCGCCCUUGGCCUUCCCGCGGUUCACGAGGCAGGAGUAGUUCUUGCAGGUGUACGCGUCCCAGACGACGCUGGUGUCGGGCGGGAUCGCCCACAGGCUCGCCGGCAGCGGCGCCGGCUCCACGUACCCGGCGGGGGUGCGCGGCCGGCACCGGCGGCGCGGCAGCGGCUCGCACCCCUUGAGCAUCAGCCGCUGCGCGAACGCCUCGUCGGAGGGGCACUCCCCGCCGGCGGUGUAGUUCAUGUACCGCUCCAGGUCGCCGCGGUGCCGGUGGCACGCCUGCCCCACCGCCGGGAACAUCACCUCACCGCCGGCGCCGGGCCGCCUGUGCGGGCCGACCGCCCACCGAAGCUCACCACCGGCGGGGAGGUCCCGCUCCCGCCGCCACAGCCCGCCGUUGGCCGCCGCCGCCUGCCGCUGCUCCUCCCGGGCGGCCUCCAUGUCGCGCUUGGCGGCCGAGCCGCCGCCCAGGAUGGCCUCGAGCUGCUUGUUGGCCGCGGUCAGGCGGUUCGACAGGUCCACCACCUCGGCGUGGCUGGCCGCGAGCGCCAGGCCGGUGAGGUUGAGCUCGCGGAGCAGCUUGGACGAGCCCCACGCGUGGACGGCCGCCGGGUAGCGCCUGCCGACGUGGGCGUGGAGCGCCGCGCCGGCGCCGGAGAAGACGAGGAUGGACGCCGCGUUCGUCAGGAACAGGAGCACCACCACGGCCCUCGACCUCCUCUGCUGCUGCUGCUGAUGAUGCUGGUCUGGUCUGGGCUUCUUGCCAAUGUCGUAGUCCAUGCUCCCCAUGAUGCAACAGCAGCAAUGUAUGAACCCUUUUUUUGCUGGAUACGGCGACAAGUUUGAUGCCAUGGCGCGUGGUGUUUAUAGAUGUGUGGAUUUGGCAAGUGUAGGUGACGACCAAGGGAGGAACAAUUGGAGGAGAGGUUUCCAGACUUGCGGCCUGUUCGGCUGGACUUAUAAGCCAGCUGAAAAGUUGAAACGUCUAAUUUAUUGUGAAAGAAAAAUAUUGUUUGGAUGCUUGAGGAGUGAACAAAGCAGAGAUGGUGCCUGCGGCCCUGUGGGUGUGUAUUCAUUUGCAACAUGGAGUGGUGGUCAACACGUACACCUUGCCAUCUCGGCACGCCUCGCAGCACUCUGUUGUGAUGUGUGAGGGUAGGACUGAAGAUGACAGGCCACGGUGGUGCCACGAUGGUUUGCUUCGCCAUGAAAAUGAAGAGCCUGUGUGCAUCAUACACACCAAGCUAGUCAAACUCUUGGAAGAGCUCGAAGCAAUUGCAGAGCCCUCCUUUGUCCCCUGCCUGCUUUCGAGCGAGGGAAGGCACGGGCCACCGGGGGGCCAGCUGCAGGUAUAUUCCCAACCCAAUUUAGCACUCGUUACAAAAAAAAAAAAGGUCUACAAGAACUGAAGAUGCAGUCAGCAACUCGGAACCAUAUGCAUUUGUUAUCAACAUUGUGCAUCAGAGGAAUCUUGACCUGGCAAAGCUAGCCAGCCAUAUCACAAGCCUAAGCUCAUGCCUAUCAGCUCACCCUAAAACCUCUGAUAAUAAAAAGCAGAAAGAGCAAGACAAAACAAUACAACAAUUCCCUCCUUGUUUACUUCCCUCCAAACUCCCAACUUUGACACUAUGUAAAAAGAAGAUUCCCCAUCACAUUAAACUUGCGGUACAUGCAUGGAAUACUAAAUGUAGACGAAAUCAAAAACUAAUUGCACAAUUUUGUGUACUUUGCGAGGCGAAUCUUUUGAGCCUAAUUAGUCAAUAUUUGGACAAUAAUUCACAAAUACAAACGAAACGUUAUAGUGUCGCAUUUAUGGCAAAAUGCCAAUUUUGCAACUCCCAACUUGGGAAGUAAACAAGGCCUCCGUAGGUUUAAUCCAACGACAUUAUAGCAACAGGAUCAUUUUGAUGUAAGACUGCAAAAAGUGCCCAUGAGGCCUGCAAUCUAAGGUACAGCCUACAGCGACUGCUGCAUGUCCCUGUUGCAGUAAACCUGUGGACUGUCGCACUCAGUCUAAACACACUUGCAGAGCUAUGUAUGAUUCACUAUGACAUUGACAAAUGAAAAUCAAAGUCAUGCAUUCGCUUGCGACGGGGAUUGCUUGGGAACCCCCCUACUGCAAGCAGCACCUUUUAGCAAAUGGCUCACAACCUUCAACUAUCAUGAUUCCUACCUAAGAAAGUAAUCCACCUAUCAUGCCUAUAGAUCAAUAAACCAAUAUAGUUCCAAUCACAAUUUCCCCCCUCCCUCUAGGCUCUUCGCAGGCAAGCCAUUCUAAAUCUGGUAAGAGCACAGCAGUGAGGAAUUCAGAUAGCCAGCUUCACUGGCAUUGUCUAUUGUUGAAAAUUCAUAUUAUAACAACCAUCUCAUAUGUACAGACAGAUCGACUGGAGAAGGGGAAUCUGUACACAUCCAUCCCAGGUUAAAACUUCUCCCCCAACAGUAAAAAGAAUUUCCACCAACUGUCAAAGACGAAAAUAGCCAAAACCCCUAUUGCUAAUAUUACCUCCAACCUUGUAUGUAAACAGUAAAGCAAUCAUCUUAUCUUGUAAGCCCAACCAUGCUCGCUCAAAAAUGCAUGUACAGCUUCCUUGAUGGCAAGAUUCGGAACUAGCUGGUGUGGUUCAAGCGCCUCACGGGUCAAAGGGUCAAACUUCCCCACCUACAAAUUAGGAGAGUUCAUAAUUUUGACACAUAAAACACUAGUGUACUGUGAGAAAUUGUUGAUGUUCGUGUCAGUUACCGUUUGAAGAUGGUCAAGAAGUACAGCCCUCUCAUAAGUAACUCCACUUGGGGUGAUCACUGGGUCUCUGAAGGUAUCAAGUGUAAUUUUGCAGCAGAGAUGAUCAGGAACCUGAAAAUAAAUAAAUUGAAUGAUUAGACCAGUCAAGGCAACCAAGUAAACGUCAUCUCAGGCAGGUUAGUACUUCUGCUGGAGUAUCAGCCUUUGCAGCUUUCUUGAAAACUUCCUCUAGCUCAUUUAGCUGUUCUUCAGGUUCAUCUGCAGCUGGAUUACCAAGGCUAUUGUAAUUCCUAAGAGCUUGUUUGCAUUCUACCCUGUAAAACGAUGAACAGAUACAUUAGGGUACUAGAGUACACCCCUGUGAUACUAAUUGAACAACACAGAAAAUCUUCACUUACUUCAGCUUCUGCAAUUGAAAGGCUCGCUCUCUUGAUAAGCCUUCCCAUUCGAUGUAUUUUGCUUUAGAAAGCUCUUGCCAAAUCUCUUCAACCAUGUAGCUUGCAGGAUGUGCACCCCUUCCUAGCUCCAAGGACUAGUUUUGAAAAUGUUUGGUUCAUCAGUAAAAACAGAAUAAAGAGAAUUUGAAUUCUAACUGAAAUAACAUAAUCAUCUGAAGAAAACUGGAUUAAAUGAGACAUUCAUAAUUAUGGUUUUCCUGUUCCUGUAGUUGUUGCACUAAUUCUUGAUUCUGGUUAAGAUCAGAGUUUUCAUCUUUAUCAGAUCAAGAGAACUAGGACAGGGCAUCUUGAUAUUAAUAUUUUGUUAAGAAUGGUUUGCCAAUCCUGUGCUUAUACGACUUAUAUUGUACAUGACAGGAUGGAACAGGAACAAAAGCCAGCACGUUCCCCACAAAAAAAAGAAGGAAUAAAGGCCAGCUUAAGGCGAAGUUGGACCAUGACCCCACAAGUAGAACAAUAUUUUAUUUAUACGUAGUUGAGGUAACUGAGGGAGGUCAUCAACUUAGUAAAGGAAUAGAAGUGGUCAGCUUAAGAUUAAUGAUUGGUAAAAAUGGAUUGUGCUAGUAAAUGAGCAAAAUAAUACAAGCACACCCUAGGGCAGGAGGGAGUGAGAGAGAUACCUUCUCCAGUGCUUUUAUUCCUUCAGACAAUCUUUGGCUGUUGACAAGUGCUAGGCCCAGCAUGUAAUGUCCCUGCCAACAAAGUAAAUAAGUUAUCAUCUAAAGAAAAGAGACUAGGAGAUGAGUAUAAAUAUGAUGUUUUCCUCAUCCAUUAAAAAAAAACAACUACAGUGAGUGCUUAAUGUGAGUGUGUUCCCCUGACUUUAGUUACCCCCACAGUGCCACCGCAACGUCAACAGUGAAUUAAAGACCAAUGUCAAAAUGGUUACACACAGUGAGUUCAGUACUCAGAUUGACCGAAGUUAACAGACAAGUAACAAACAUAUUCUAUAGUGUUUGACUUCGCUUCUGUUCCUUCUCUUAACUCCAGAAUAGUGGAUCCCAAGACUUAGGGGGUGUUUGGAUACCCCAUACUAAAGUUUAGCACCCGUCACAUCGGAUGUUUGGAUGCUAAUUAGAAGUAUUAAAUAUAGGCUAAUUACAAAACUAAUUGCACAAAUGGAGUCUAAUUCACGAGACGAAUCUAUUAAGCCUAAUUAGUCCAUGAUUUGACAAUGGGGUGCUACACUAACCAUUUGCUAAUGAUGGAUUAAUUAGGCUUAAUAGAUUCGUCUCGCGAAUUAGCAUAGGGUUUUGCAAUUAAUUUUAUAAUUAGCUCAUGUUUAGUCCUUCUAAUUAGCAUCCGAAUAUCUGAUGUGACACUGCUAAAGUUUAGCACCUAGUAUCCAAACACCCCCUUAAUUACAAACAUAUCUUACAUGCUCUAUUGCAAAUCAAAGUGUAUAUGUUUGAAGCAUAUCUUACUGACUCAUAGAGCAAGUCAGGAUCAUUCUGCUAAAGUCAGAAUUCUAGCCCCCAUUUUUUGCAACAACUUCAAAAAAUAACAAAGGACUUUCUACCUAUUGGAAAAUCAGACUUAUGGAAAAUUCAAUUCAAGUGGAACGAGGCAAACAGAAACAAGCUCAGCAACUGGAUUAAUCUAGUACACCCUGUUUGCAAGCGGACCUUCCAUCUGAGAGACAACAACAGGUGCCUCAGCUUGUUCAUGUGGAAUCAAGUCCAGUUUCACGUUGUGCUAAGCCACAUAAUCCAGCUGGCAAGUACAAUCUUCCCAAUUCUAUUAAAGUAAUUUCAUUGGCUCUGAAGUAGAGACAUUUAGAUAUCUUUAGGCAUAGAGUGUGUCAAGAAGUGGAAGUAAACAGAUCCUUUUUAAAAAGCAGCUCAUCUCCACAGUACCAAAUGAAGCCUAACUCAACUAGCAUGUUGAUGUGUGCAGAAGGUGAAAUACUAACAUGAAUACUAAAUCUGUUACAUAUUUGGUCAAGAAAAAAAAGUGAUGGGGAAUGAAAUGUGUUUCCAAAUGAGAAAACGAUGUCCUUAUAAUGCACAGUACAUUUCUCAAUAAUCAGCAUGCCCACAUAGUCAGCACUGAACAAAACACACAAAAAAUAGUUAAAGACAGAUCAAGUCAUCACCUUAACAGAUUGGCUGUCAAGCUGGAUAGCCGUUCUACAGUCUUCCUCAACCUUGGCCCACUCACUGGCAAAUUCAAUAGGAACACAGUAUGGUGUAAACACUUUGAUUGCACAUUAAAAUUGAUAAGUAAAAUGCAACAACCAAAAAGGACUAGCAAUUUUACAGACUUCCGCUUCUUAUAGCAAAGUGCCCGGUUGGUCCAAUAUACUGCAACAUUUGGGCAGAGAGUGAUGGCCUGUCAACCAAAAUAGACAAUGAAGUUAGCAAAGGACGUGCAAGAUAUAAAGAGAUUUAACUAGAACUGCCAUCAUUUUUACUAACAUAUAGUUUAUCAUAGAUUCAUACACGCUUUCACUACAACUGCCAUCAUUUUAAAAAGGCCAAACAAGUGGGACUAUCAAGGUGGACAGGUAAGCUUUAGUCUUGGGUCCCGUUUGACACAGCUCUAGCUCUUAGCUCCAAGUCAGAUUUAGAGUUUAUAAACUAAAAUAAAGUAGUAUACAAAUCUAUUUCUGUCGGAAUUGAAUCAAAAGGAUUCACAUAAACAGUCCCAAUGUAGCCCCAGCUCCAGUUCCAUGAGAACUUGGACAUAGGAAUACCCAGCUCCAAGCUGGAGCUGUGCCAAACAGUCCUUUACUUGAAUGGCUAAAACCAAAUCAUUCAAUGUUCCGUUCAUUAAUAUAAAAUUAAUAUUUAAUAAUCCUGUGAUUCACAAGCAUAACAAUUCUAGAGGCUUCUGAUGUUUGUACAACCUGGUAUAUGAUUGGAACAUUUUCCUGCCCACUCUCCAUCAAUUCUUUCACUCCCCAACCAAUUUCCAUGACUAGCACUAGAUGUCUAGCAAAUUACAAAUACAAGCAACAGCCCAUUAGCAUUGUAUAGCCCCACAAGGCCACAAUACCUUGAAAGGUAAAAUGCUUUUCAACUUGCAUUGUGCUGCAGAGACUCUUGACUAGAUAGCAGACAUCUAGUAUGUUUUAAAUAAAUGGACUACUCCAGAUAGCAAGAAGCAAUACGUGUAAUCAGUAAUCAAACCGCUCAACUGCCCAGUGCAAACAAGCUUACAACAAUUGGUUAACUCGAAACUAGUACCACAAGAUAUCACGUUAACCAUCCUGACCAGCAAUGUCAACACCACAAAUCAACUUAUCUAGCCAUGGUUACUAGUAGUACUGGAAGCAAUUUCAGAGAAUUUAGUAAAAAAUCAGACAAUUCAGCAAACAUCCAGAGAAUUUAUCAGCGUCACGUUACAAACGCACAGCAGGCCUUCGCGGAAUGCACUAGCAUCACUGUCUCACUGAUACAUCGCUGCACAGCGCAUCGAUUGAACAGGAGAAAACAAAAACCGACGCCUAACAAAUGGAAACGGCAAGCGUAACCGGCGAAUCAGGCGGCACAAUCCGGCGCCGGAAAGCUCGCCCCGGCGGUAGCGGGUCGCGGCGGGCCACGCUUACCCCUGUGUAGGCGUCGAUGGCGGCGCUGAGGCGUUCCUUCCUGAAUAAGGCGUUGCCCUCCUGCUUGAGCCGGUCCGCCUGCCGCUGCGACUCCGCCCCGCUGUCCGCCGGCGCCGGCGCCAUCUCCGGCGGCCCGCACUCGCCUCGCGCUCGUGAGAGGAAGGGGGUGGGCGGGGAGGAGGCGCGAUUUGCUCGUGUGGGAUCGUGGCGUGCGCCUGGCGGCUUCGUUUUUUGGUGGGGAGUGGUGGAAUGGAAGGGAAGAACAAUUGCAAGGGACCCGAGGCGAGGGAGGCGAGGGCCGGGUGGGUGGGGGGACGCGGGGAUGGGUGAUUUUUUGCGAUGGGGUCCCUGGAUUUGACUAUGUGAGGGCUUAAUAGCGAAAAGUAAAUAAGAGACGUGUACGUGCUGAGAGUCUGAGACGUAUGGUAAGUGGUUGAAGGGCUUGAUCACAAAAACCAUCCAUAGCAUGCAAUUCAAUUUGACUACUAUCUAGAAAUAUACAAGUUUCUACAUGGAAUUCACAGCUUAUAGAUGAUGAAACCAACAAGAAAGACAAGUGAGAUGACAUAAAAGGAUUUUGAUGUGAAGUGUACAGGUAGCUUGUAAGCUUGUAUCAUGUAUUGAUGCGUGCAAUUAUCUUUUACUUAUUUGUCAAAAGUUUAACCCCAAUAUACUAAAAUUGCAUACUCGUUGUUCGCAAUUUGAAAUAGUCAUAUUUCAUAGAGUCAUCAUGUGUGGAAGUCUAUUAAAUUGAUAUUUUACCACUGUUGCUUUGCUAUAUUUAUUGAUCAUAUUUCUUUAAUUAUAAUAAACAUCACAUCACUUGUUAUCUUGCAUCAUUUGCUUAGUUGCUUUGAUCAGAGGAUCCAAUUGUUUGCUCUAUUAUUUUUAUCCAUCCUCAAUUCCUUAUUGUACAGGUUACAAAGGGAUUGUCACUACAAUUCAAAUGAUGCAUUCACCUCAUUCAUGUUAAAAUAGCCUACCAGUUUAGUUAAUUUUGACAAAGAAGAUGUAAAGAUAUAUGUAUCCUUUCAAGAACAUUUAAAUUAAACCACCCUUUAUGUAACUAUAUUUUUGUAACAGUAACUACAGUUUUGAUACCGACAUGCUGUAAUUCAAAUCGCAAUUCCAAAUAAACCAGCCAUAUCAAAUUCCACGAAGCACAAGGUGCUUUCGGGACAAAACACAAUCUGUGAAUCGCCAAUUCGCCAUUGCCCGCAAGGCCGCAACGCAUAGGGGAGAACGGAAUCGACCCCUCUCCAGUCUCCACCCGAGCUUGCACAGCAGCGCACGCGGGGAGAGACAUGGCGACGGAAGAGGAGGUGCCGGAGGCGGAGGCGGCGGCGGCGGUGGCGCCCGCGCCAGCUGGUGGAGGCGGGGACGACGCGGAGAUGCCCGACGCCGCCGCGCCCUCGGGCUCCGACUCGGACUCGUCGGACUCCGACGACGAGGGGGCGGGCGGCGUCGACGAGCUCCGCAUCCAGGCCCUAGAGCGGACACUCCAGGAGCAGCCUCUCGACUACGAGACCCACGUGCAGGUACCCUUCGCGCUCCCCAUUCCCCCGCUGCCACGGCUCGCUAGGGUUUUGAGUGGGUUUAGUCGUGGUGUUGGUUCGCGCAUUUGAUGGAAGCUAGUACACUACUAGGGUUGGAAUUAGUGCGUGCCUUUACGCAUUUGAUCCCUUUUGUUAGGCUAGAUAUGCUCAUUAGGCUGUCAAUUUUGGUGCGUGUCAGCUGCAAUGCAGAAAUGGAUUGUUAUUUUUUUCAACAGGUUUAUUACUUUGGUCCUAGAGUAAUUGGGGUUGCUUCCUCAUGUAGAUAGUAGUCAUUCUUAUGCUGCCUUAGAUGGGUGGUCACUGUUAUUUGACAGACUUCCCAUACUAUUUGGUAUUAGCCUGAAUGUUUUGCGUCUGUUGUUGCAGUAUAUCCAGUGUUUGAGGAAGUCAGGCAACAUUGAGAAGCUUCGCGCGGCAAGGGAAGAGAUGAACAAGUACUUCCCUCUUACCCCGAAGAUGUGGCAGGAGUGGGCGAAGGAUGAAAUCUCACUGAGCAUGAGGUUUGUGAUUGUUUUCUCCUUCUUAUGCCUUCCUGAAUUUAUUCGUGUCAUGUGCUGCCUUCCUGAAGUAUUCACGUCGUGCAGUCUGCACUUCAGAUUCAUGGAAAACUGAGUUUCAUUCUGUGGUUUUGUUUGUCUGUCUUGGUUGUUUUGUCACAGUGAGGAAUCUUUCGCUGAUAUUGAAAAGCUAUAUGAGCGUGGGGUGCAAGAAUACCUGGUAUGUUGAAUUGUUCUUAUGAUAUUGUAUUUAAACUAUUGAGCUUGAGCAUCUGGUUGUGGAGUGCUAACUUACUGUGGUGAUCAUUACACUGCAGUCCAUUAAGUUAUGGCGGGAUUACCUUGACUAUGUCGAAGAGCAUGAUCCAUCAGUGUCUCAAUGUACAACGUCUGGCCUCUCCAAGAUGAGAGAUUUGUUCGAGCGAGCCAUCACUGCAGGGGGGCUGCAUGUUACUGAGGGCAGCAAACUGUGGGCAGCUUAUAGAGAAUACGAGAUGGCAAUUUUGAUCACCAUCAGUGAUGACAAUGAUGAGGAAAGGGCAAAGCAAGUUCAGCGUAUACGCAUGCUAUUCCACCGCCAGUUAUCUGUUCCUUUGGCUGAGAUGGAAUCUACACUUUCUGAGUAUAAGAUCUGGGAAGCCGAGCAAGGGAAUGAAAAUGAUCCAGGUUCCAAUUUUGAUGGUGUCCCCUCAAAUGUCGUAUCUGCUUACAAAAAGGCCAAUGAUAUGUACAAUGAAAGGAAGCAAUAUGAGGAUCAACUAAGCAAUGCAGGCGCAUCUGAAGCUGACAAACUGCAGGAGUUUCUGGUAUGCUUAACAUAAUUUAUGACCUUACAAUGCUGAACUUAAAUCUUGUUUAAAUUCAUCCUUCUAGGGCUAGGCUUGUACUAUUUACUUGAGAAUUGAGAUGCACUCCUAUUAUUGUGUCAACGUUUAGGAUAUUUUUCAUAUUAGGCCUAUCUGUGACUCUGAGCUGCUCUCCUGCUUCAAGUUUGUGGUGAAAAUUUACAUCUUUGUUGAAAAGCUCUUUGUUUGAUUUCUCUCUUUUUUUACACAAUUUCUCUCCUUUUGGUUGGUUUAACUGAAAGUUAUAGAAUUACAGUUCCAUUUGAUGACCUUGCCAGAAAAAAAACAUUUUGUUCGUCAGUUCUGUCCUUUGAAUUCCUGUUUCUGUAUUCCAGCAUUUUUAUCUGUGGCUCUGCUCAGUUAGUACUCCGUAACUUUUAAAGGAAAAUCUUACUCCCUCUGUUUGAAAAUGUAGGUCGUUUUGGCUUUUCUUGAUACAUAGAUAUUGCUAUGCACCUAAAUAUAGUGUUAUGUCUAGAUACAUAGCAGAAAAGCCAAAAUGACCUACAUUUUGGAACAGAGGGAGUAUUUGGAAACCAAAACAGAAUCUAUAUGUUCCCGUUAUAUUCUGUAUAUCACAAUGUGAGUUCAUAGGUUGUUUGCCACCUUUCAGUCUUCCCAAGCUUAUGUUUCAUGUGAUGCUUAUUCUUUCUUUUCCAACAAAAGGGGUGCCAUCUCACCAUAUCCAUUACCUUUUACUGACAAUAUUCUUGUUCUUUGCUAACUCAAUGUCACUUAUUUGUAUAUGAAACAGAAAUAUCUCAAAUUUGAAGAAUCGUCUGGUGACCCUGCUCGUGUUCAAGUUCUGUACGAACGAGCUGUUUCAGAGCUGCCUGUUUCAACCGAUGUAUGGAUAGGAUACACGAGCUACCUGGAUAGAACCUUGAAGGUCCUUUUAGAAACUUGUUUGGCAAUACAUGUCGAUUCAAUCGUGAUAUUCUCUCUUUAAUAUCAAGAGAUGCCUUUUUUCUCUGCAGGUGCCUUCUGUACUAAGAAGUGUUUAUCACAGAGCCACAAGAAACUGUACAUGGGUUGGUGAGCUAUGGGUCCAUUAUCUCUUGUCUUUGGAGCGGGUUCGUGCUUCUGAAGAAGAACUACGCAAUGUAAGUUUCUUACUUCUCUCUUUUGACAUGUAGUUGGAGAUUUUGCAUAUUAGAUUCUGUAGAUCUUCUAUGUAUGCGAAGUAGAUGGCAAUGUUAGGUCUGGCACCAUGGUUCCUUAAGAUAAGCUGAUUAUAAUCCUGUAUAGUUUCUGUUCACCUUCUUAGCAGCUAACUGCACGGCAUGGUGGCACAUGCAACAGUAUGAAUUGUAUGUAGUUAAAUAUUUGCAUGUUUAUUAGCUAGCUGUAGAUGUGUGUUACUGUUAUGUAUUGGAAGUCCUGUUAUACGUUGACGGAGAGCAUAAUGUCAUUGAUAUAAUUCUCUUCUCAUUCGACUAUCUACUAUCUGUUUCAAAAUAUCCUAAAGCAUCCUGGUAAGCAGCCAACUGAGCACAUUCUGAUAAAACUGAAUAUCAUGAGUGUCUAAUGUGUCCACUGCAUUUCUUUUUGCCAUUUGCCUUACUUUUUUGGUAGUUUUGGAAGAUUGUUAUUAAGCUUCGCCUGUUUCUUUUAUGUAUAUUGGGAGCUAAAGAUAUAUAUGUGCUUGUACAUUUCAGGUAUUUGAACGGGCAGUACAGUGUUCUUUUCCAACCAUACAAGAGGUUAGAAUGAAUCAUGUUGUUUUAGUUUGGUUACUUUCUGGGUAAAAACCAGAGCAUCCAUUUUAAGAAUUUUUUCUGGUCAAUUCUUGUUAACUGUUCUGGUGGGAUGCAGAUUCUCAUUUAGUUUUUAUUUGGAUGGCUGAACUGCUGCAGUAUCUCAAUAUUUAUCUCACUCGAGUUCAUAGUCUAAGACGGAGGAUUUCAGAUGGGUUGGAUUUCCAGCUGAUCAGGCAGACAUUCAAGGUACAUCUUCUCUAUCACCUCACCAUUUACGUGCAUUUUCUUAAUUUUACUAUAAUUAAUGGGAUAUAAUAUCAGAAUGCUGCAGAAUUUCUCUCACCUCAACUGGGAACCAAGGAGUUACUGCACUUGAAUGCUUAUUGGGCCAAAUUAGAGCGCAGUCUUGGCAAAGAUCUUUCUGCAGCUCGUGUCGUUUGGGAAAACGCUAUCAAAAAAAGGUUUAGUUUUUUGCUUUAUGCAAAUUCAUAAAUGUUUCUUUUUACUGGCUACGUGCGGACCCUUAAAUCUGUCACUAUUUUUCCAGUGGCUCUGUUUUGGAAGUUUGGCAGCAGUACAUUUCAAUGGAGGUAGAAAUGGGACAUAUACAUGAGGCGAGAUCGCUUUAUAAGCGCUGUUAUAGCAAAAGAUUUGCUGGGUCUGGAUCAGAGGUAAGCUCUUCUCAAACAAGCAUCCGAACAUCUCUUUCUUCCUGCUAUCAUGACCUGCAAAGUUGCAAACUUGCUGAUGUACUCUUGUUGCUGCCUGUGAGCCAGAGUCUUAAAUACUAGCUUAAUCAGUUAAUUGCCUCAGUUUAUUUUUGUGAAUACCAUCAUUGUUAGUAUUUUGAUAUGAUAAAUCUCAUGAAUACUGAUGAUUUAAUUUUCAACGUUAUGAUCUUAAACUUACUAGGACAUAUGUCAUGCAUGGAUAAGAUUUGAAGAGGAGCAUGGCACCUUGGAUGAUUAUGACCUUGCUGUAAAAAAGGUAUGCUGCUGGCUGCUAGAUGUUUUUCUAUUUCACCUGUUCAUUAGGCUUUCUGCUGAGUGUGAAUUGGAAUUAUUUUUUCUGGGGAACAAAAAAAUUGGUUUGACGUCCACUUCUUGCUCCUUCAGCAUUAUCUUUGUGUAUGUGAGUGAAUGCUCCUUCAGUUGGUCAUACUCCAUAAAAAAGAGCAACUGAUAAUAUCUGCCAAACCAAUCUAUUCAUUAAUAACCAAGAGUAUACCAUAAGUUUCUGAAGAUUCCUGGUUACUUCUACAUAAAGUUGAUAACUCAUGAAAGCUUUUGACAUUGUUCGUAUUUUAAUGUGAUUAAAUCCUCUGUGCAAUCAUCAGAUGUUGACGCCUUGCGUGUUAUUUAAUAUUUCAGGGGUUAAAGUGUUAGACAUGCUGAGUUGAUAUCUAUUCAACUGUAUACGGUGUUUCUAUCUGAACUGUAUGAGCUAGGUGAUAGCAUGGGUUCCCGAUUUAUCAUAUUAACUACAGUUUUGAACUUGUUCUCCUCCCAUUUGACCAGGUCACCCCUCGGCUAAAGGAGCUUAUGGUGUUCAAGUCUCAAGAGGAGGCUAAAGUCGAGGCUUACUCUAUGCUCAAUGAUAAUUCUAAUGCAGAUGACUCUUCUCAGAAAAGAAAAGCAAGUAAAAUGACCAAUAAACAGCAGCCCCCUGCUAAGAAAAGGAAAGAGAAUCCACCAAAAAGUGUCAAGUCAUCAGACGACCAAGAAAAGACCCAAAGUGGACAUAGUGGUGCUGUUACUGCUGUAGAGGUUGGAGAGGCAUCCACAGAAAUGAAAGUGGACAGCAACUGCCGAACAGGGAAUACAGGUUCAAAUGAACCAAAACCAUCCUUCUACAAUGACAAGUGCACAGUAUUUGUCUCAAAUAUAGACUUGAAGGUAUGUCAUUUUUCAUUUUUUUUGAUGCAUGUAGCUCCUGAAAUUUAAUUAACCAACUCGUUACCCUCUCUCUGUAGGCAACUGAGGAUGACCUUCGCCGGUUCUUCUCUGACAUUGGUGGUGCCACAGCAAUAAGAUUGCUGAAGGACAAAUUCACCAAAAAGUCAAGGGUAUGUGUUACACUUAUUCUUAUAAUAAUGUUUUUGUCUCUUGGGUUCCAUAGUGUAAAUAAUAGCUUGUUUGUUGAAUUCUGUACAUAGCAUCAUUACACUAUAAAAUAAGGCAUUAGUAGAUUAUGCUUGCUCCUGGAUUAGUUCACUAGAUGUUCUUGUAGUUUUUAUUUCUUAGGCUGAAACUACAAUGUUAGGUUGAAGAGGCACGCAUGACAUCUCAAAGUGCAUAUUUGAAUGCACGUGACGCCACACUCUGCCCAAAAACUACUCCUAUGACCUAUCCUUCUCCAGCUUCAUGAUUCCCCACUACUACAAUGUCCAGCCUCCUGACGAGCCACCCAGGCAGAGCCCCUUUCCUGCCAAUGAUGAGUAAGGCAUGGGGCUGUGCUCACUAAGAAAUACACUAGAUGCUCCAGUAGUUCCUUGAUACAAAGUGCAAACUGAGUUUGCCACUAAGUAUACGUGUAUUCAUGGAAAUUAGUGACUCUAGUGGACUUUUAUGUUUUCGCUAUUUUGGCACUGUAUUUCCCAAACGUUUGAUACUAUUGGAGUGUUAGGAAGAAAUGUUUUUCUUCAAAUAGUCGUCGGGCUCAGAACAUAUGCAAACUAAAGUGCCAUCAUCCUGUUGCUUUUGGCAUUAUGCAAAUUGGUAUUAUGUUCAGAGAAUAUUUGUCUCUGUGUUUUAAGAUAAUUACUACAGAAUUUGGAUUUCAUUUUUCAUUGAUUUGUUUUUCCUUAAUAUUUUUGCAGGGGUUGGCCUAUGUGGACUUUUCAGACAACAAGCAUCUUGAGGCAGCCCUUCAGAAAAACAAGCAUAGGUUGCUUGGAAAGAAAGUGAGUAUCGCUCGAUCAGAUCCAAGCAGGAGUAAGAAGAGCCGUGAGGCAGGUCCUUCCUCCAAAGGCUACGGUAUGUUCUUUGACCAGUUGACGACAUUUUCUUUUUGACUGUUGUCCUAUUUGAAAAUUGCAUCAACAGAUCAACCUAAAGCUAUACCGAUAAGGGCAAGAAUUUUAGAACCCCAUAUUGCACUUGGAUAGUGGAGACUGGCACUCGCUUAUUAUCACAUUCAACACCUGGUCUUUUCUGUUUUGGACCAAAACUAGUUUAUAAGAUUUUGGGUGGAAACCACGAGUCAAGUGGAAUCUUGGAAGCUACACUGUAAAGUAUAUGCUGAAGUUUUGAAAAAAAAACUCAAAAAACAAAAGUCAACCACACAGUUUCAGAUUAAACUGCACACAUGCUUUUUUUUAGUAGAUCUUCUGUACAUGUGCAUAAGACUAGAACUAGAGAUCUGCAUCACUUUUGCAUGUUAAUCGUGACUGAUGUUAUGGGGUACAUCUACAUAGCACCUAUCUGAUUUUUGCAAAUUAUCUUCUUUCUGCAGAUAACUUGCCUCAGAGUGGUGAUGAUGGUGCAAAAGCACCUGGAUCCAGUAGACCAGAAAAAGAAGUACCCAAAGGUGAUGUGAAAAUCACAGGGAAGAACACUGCUUUUGCACCACGAUCUGUGGUUAAACCUCUUGGGUGGACUACCAAGGAUGAGAAGCCAGAUGGUGGUGCAGGAGAGUUGAAAUCAAACGAGGAGUUCAGAAAUCUGUUGCUUAAGAAGUGAUGUUAGUAGGCAGGUUAGUACUUUAUCAUCUUUACAGUAGAUGUCCAAGCUAGUGUCUGUACAACCACCACCCCACGCACAUAUUUCUGGGCCCGCGAUGUAUGUUUCAGCGCUUAGCUCUUGUUGCCUGCUUUAGGCUUUGAAGAAACUUUAUACAGGAUCCUGCAAUUCUGUUUGUUUCCUCAGCUGCAAAUUUUAAGUACCUGGCACAUGACAAUAUUUUAGUACUAUGUUUCAAACAUCCGCAACCCGCCACUGUAUAUCACUGAUUUUUGUUGGAUGAGUCAACUCAUAGCUGCUUGCAAUGUGUGCAGGCGCGUGGAUCUCCAUGCCCCAUCCAGCUUGAUCUGUUUAGAUUUCCAGUGGUUUCAUGAUUAUGUUAGACCGACUUCUACCACUUCAACUAGGAAAUCGAGGACAAUGAGCACCUUGGAAAUUCAGAAUCAUUGGCCAGGAGCAAUGGAUAUGAAAUCGAGGACAAUUAGCAUCUUGGAAUUGAGAAUCAUGGCCAUGAGCCAUGGAUAUUUCUGUUAAUCGAGGGAGGUUAUAUGCCAUGUAGAAACUAGUCCUUUGCAGGGAAUUAUGUGCGGUUGCGUCCGAGCAGAAAAACCCCGACCAUGUAAAGCAAAAACAGCGAUCUUAAGAUAUUACGUUUGUUUUUAGUAUUUUUGGUAGAAUGUUCAAACUUACUGUCUCUCUGGCUGCUAAAAAUGUUUAAACUUGUAUUCCCUUCGUUUUAAAAUGUAGGUCGUUUUGACUUUUCUAAGUGCAUAGAUUAUGCUAGGUACCUAAGUAAAAUCUAUUUAUCUAGAAAACUCAAAAUGACAUACAUUUUGGAAUGAAGUGAGUAACUAUUUAUUUAGUGUUAGGCAUUAUCUUUUCAGCUCAGCAGUCCAACAGAGCUUUGCCUGCAUCUUGAUAGAACUGAAACUGAUUGCCGAAGAGUAAGGGAACUUAUUGGCUAAAAUAGUCAAAGGUGGCCGGUGAAAGUUACAUUUUGUUGUUGAUUUUGGCAAAAAAAAAUUAACAUAAUAUGCUUUUUUAGAACAGGCGUGCUCUAAAGUAAAACCAUGCGCGUUUGAGAUCCUGAAAAAAGCUGCUUGCUGGUACGAAGAGUUGUAAAGAAAUCAGAUUGAGAUAUUUGCACACUGAUGUUGGUGAAUAUAAGACAUUAACACAAUUAUUUCCAUCUGAAGACGUUCCUUGAAACUCAGAUAAAUUUCAACGAAAGCCAUCACAUCACAGCAGCCUUCCCAAUCACAUGACACCAUUGAGAUCAAAUGAUUAUACGCUAAAAAAUUAUCCACCACGCAUGCCAACUUUUAUUAAUGCCCCGGGCGAAAACCAUGUUCUUCUCUCACACCGCACACACCACACUGAGCUAAAUUAACCCACACGAGAACACCAGCCAUCUAAGAAUUAAGAAGAGCAGCUAACAAUCUCCUAAUGAUAUCGAAUUCAAAUGAUGACGUCGAGGGGCGACGAAGGCGGCGCGGUGGAGGCCGCGGCGGCGCUGGCGUCUAGUUGCCCUUGGCGAUGAGCUCAUGGGCGGCCGCGACGGUGGGCAGCGCCGGGAUGGCGCCCUUCUGGGUGGUGCAGAUGGCGCCGCAGGCGUUGGAGAACUUGAGCGCCUCGCGGAGCUUCUCCUCGUUCUGAAAGGAAGGAUUAACACCAACGACAUGAUUAGUAAAGACACUUGAUUAAACAGAGAGAUGCUACUAAUCUUGUUACGCAGAUCAAUCGAUGAGGAAUCAUACGUGGAAGAUGGAGUCGUCCUUGGCGACGUUGACGAGGAGAGAGCCGACGAAGGCAUCACCGGCGCCGGUGGUGUCAAUGGUGUUCACCUUGUAGCCGGGAACGCUGCCCUUGAAGUCCUGCAAUGAGACACAGCGACCAUGUUAAUUUCUUGCAAGAAUUAACCUUCGUACCAAAUUGGACGACAGUGCAAGUUAAAAACACACACAAAAAAAAUCGAACCUUGGUGAAGUAUCUGCACCCCUUGUCGCCGUCGGUGACGAUGAGGAGCUUGAGGCCAUCGAACCAGAGCGAGAGCACGUUCUUCUCGUCGUUGGCAUCACCCUGUGUGAGGAAGGCGACCUCAUCAUCGCUGACCUUGAUGAAAUCAGCCUCCUUCCAGAUGCUGAGGAUGCCGGCUCUUGCGGCCUCCUCGGACGGCCAGAGCGGGAGGCGGACGUUGGGGUCGUAGGAGCAGAGGAUGCCGGCGGCCUUGGCGGCGCGCAUGGCGGCCAUGUGCGCGGAGCGGCACGGCUCGGAGAUGAGCGAGAUGGAGCCGUAGUGGAAGAUCUUGGCGCGGCGGAUGAGGUCCAGGUUGAGCUCGGCCUCGGUGAGCAGCAUGUCGGCGCUGGGGUUGCGGUAGAACAUGAACUCGCGCUCGCCGUUCUUCUUGAGGGUAACGAAGGCCAGCGCCGUGCGCGCGUGCUGGUCGAACAGGCAGCCCUCCGAGUUGACGCCGUUCUGCUUCAGGAUGUUCACCAGCAUGUGCCCGAACUCGUCGUCGCCGAACUGCAGCCAUGGAACAGAGCAGGGGAUCAGCAAAUGCAGCUUCAGGUUGAGUUCAAAUGAUUUUUUUUGUUAAACUGGGAUACUAAUUAGUUGCCUUUCUUAAUUGCAGACGUCAUGUCCAUAUCGGAGCAGUUGUAUACACAGUAGUAAUGCUUAAUCUUAAAGCAAUUAACAAAUGAAACGAAUGAGAAGAUGGUUUUGCAGUGCUUAAACAAUUGCAGAUUGAGUAAGAAAAAGCAUCAUGUGACGGUGAGGGCUAACUAAUGGAACGUUGUUGCUAUAUGGCAGGCUGGGUGUUCUUGGAUGAUCCGACGGCAAGGCGACCCCAACCGCCACUAACCGACGGGUCGGUGUCAGAUCCGAGUCAGCCGGGCCCCGCGGGGCACUGAAACACAUCGUAACCCCAGAGGUCAAUAACGUAACAAGAUUUGUACAAUAAAAAUAACGUAACCGGGCGUGACCCCAAAGGCCAGAGCACAGGUUGCGACCCCUACGCCACACAGGUAGCUGAGGUGAGCUCAGUGAGGCCCAAAACCACUUUCAACGGCGCGCAGCAAACACGUGAUGGGCCCCACGUGCCGCUACAGAAAAUCUUACCACUAGAUUACCUUUUUGCAAAUUGUUAGCAUAUAAUUCCAACAUAUAAAAAUGCCACUAGCACCAACCAAAUUGAUGGACGCUACAAUUCAAUUGCUAGCACUACUAUUUUUUCUUGUUUUCCUUAAAAAGGAGGACAAAACAAAACACAUGGUAUAAUACGUCAAAAAUUUGAAUAAUGUACAGCAGUAAAGUAAAGCGAGCCGGCGGAAGUAAGCGGCGGAAAAUAGCAAAAGGGCGUGAGGUCACGCGGCGACAAGAACAAACAAGUCGCUUGUCGCGCGCCACCCGCUCCAUGCAAAGCAAAACAAAACACAGACCCCUCCAAGACCCCAGCUGCAGCUGCACUAUAGUGGCGUCCGUCAAAUGAUGCGCAGGCAGCUGCAAAGAUUUUCCUAACCACAAAUAGGAUGGACAAGAAUAAUCAUGCGCUUCAAAGUGGCAUCACAUCGUGUCAUCCAUCACCAGAAGGAAAAAAAAACGUACUACAACGAUCGUGACGCAUCUGCAAGCAAUUGCCAGUCAACGCCCGCCCCGCCCCGGCACAAGGCGAUCAGUCCAGGACGCACUGCCGCGGCGGUCGCCGGAUCUCGCGGAUCCAGAUCCCGCUCCCCGCGCGGAUCGUGAGAUCACCCACCCACCCACCGGAUCAGCCGCAUCUGAGCAAGCUGCUGACCAACCAAACCGAAACCCCGGGCCGCCGGAUCCAGGCGCGAGCACGAGGCCGGCCGGCCGGCCGGCGGAUCCGUACGGACAAUCCGGUGGAAGUAAUGCGAACGAAUUGGCAACAGCAGAUGAUACGGAUGACGGGAAUGAGUAGUAUUAUUACCUUGCCAAGGAAAGCGGAUGCGCCGCCGAGCUUGGAGACGGCGCAAGCGACGUUGGCGGGUGCGCCGCCGGGAGCCUUGACGAACCCUCCCGACUCGGCGAGCGAGAGCCCCGCGACGUCGGGGACGAAGUCGAUGAGCAUCUCGCCGAAGGACACCACGAGGUUCGCCGACGACGCGGCGGCGGCGGCUCCAUCUCCCAGCGGGGCCAUUGAUGGCUGCACGAACGAAACGAACGAAGGCGACGAAACGAGCUGGACGGAGAGAAAGCGAGAGGCUUGCUGUUUGCUUGUUGUGGAGGACGGAGGAGGGGAGGCCCUUGGCUGAGUUUAUAAAGGGGAGGGGGAGCCUGUUGGCUUGGGAGAGGGAUUAGGAUUAGGAUUAGUGGUUAUUAACAGCGAUUAUUAUCCGAUCCGGUUAUUCGAGCCCGCCUGGUUCUGCUCUGCUUACACGUCGGACAACAAACUGCACUCGGAGCUGGAUCGCACAAAGAGCCAGACGUGUGGGGCCGUGGUUGGCCGCGGACCCACCGCGCCGGGGCGGGCGCGGUCGGUACGUUUGAAUCUGCUGGGUCGGUGGGCCCGCGUGCCGGUGCGGGCGAGUUGGAUUUGGAUCAGGCUACAGCAGCAGCCAGCACCCAGCAGGCCUUCGCAGCAGUCUCGCGGAGGCCGGACGCUUGAUUUCUCUCGUCGUCCGGUGCGGUAGCGUGGGGCCACCUGUCGGUGGGCGCGACCGAUCUGCCUGAUCAGGUCUCGACUACGCUCCCAAACCGCACGGCCGCGAGCUUGCGAUCCUCCCUCCUUCCCCUUCCCCUAAUCCUAUCCGAUCUGCACGCGGUAAUUAUCUCCGGCUCCAAGUAGAGUAGUAGCUAUCUACCCGCGCGUUAGGAUUUACAUUUACCUACCCGGCUAUUAUUCUUGCGGUGUAAGGUCAUUCUCAGUGGGAAUUUCAGUGCGUAGUACGGGUUGUUUUGUUGUUCACAGCUAGUAGCUAGCUAGCUAUUCGUAUGCUGUUGCUGCUGCUGCUGCUGCUGCAUCGAGAUCUGGGCUGAGCUGGCGCUGGCGGUGCCGUCGUCUUUGUUUGAGUCCGCAGCAAGCAAAGUGCCUCUGGCCUCUGCUCUGCAAUCUGGUGUGGUGGUUUGGACCAAACCAUCAAUCAAUACCGUCGGCUCCUGCUGUUAGUUGCACUGGUAGUGUUUAUUUAAGGGGUGUCUGGAUACACCGUCCUAAACUUCAGUACCUGUCAUAUUGGAUGUUUGGAUAAUAAUUAGGAGUAUUAAAUAUAGUCUAAUUACAAAACUAAUUGCACGUAUGGAGUUUAAUUCGCGAGAUGAAUCUAUUAAGCCUAAUUAGUCCAUGAUUUGACAAUGUAGUGCUACAGUAAUCAUUUGCUAAUGAUGGAUUAAUUAGGCUUAAUAGAUUCGUCUCGCGAAUUAGUACAAGGGUUCUGCAGUUAGUUUUAUAAUUAGCUCAUGUUUAGUCCUCAUAAUUAGCGUUCGAACAUCCGAUAUGACCCUCCUAAAAUUUAACACAUCAUAUCCAAACACCACCUGUUCAUUCCCAAACCAAAUCAGAUUCAGAUCUCAUCCGAUCGCGCCGGCAACAACGAACGACAUGAUGGGCCAACGUACCAGCGCGAGCUGCACCGCCUCUAUCUCUGCAUUGCAAUCCAUCUGCCCACAAACUUAUUAUCCAAGAAAAACGUGCAGAUAAAGACUUUUCCUCUCUCUCUUUUUUGGCAACGAAAGAUAUACCGUAAUCUAUUAAUAAUUAAUAAAUGUGAACUGAAUAGCCUUUUUUUUGGGUGCGUAAAUAAAUAAAUAAAUCUCCACGUUAAUUAACAUAUCGUGAGGAAGUGAGGUUUUGCGCAGAUAAUAUUCGAUCUCCACGUACGAGUAACGUGCACGAGCGUGCGUUCCUGGAUUCCCGAAUGGGGUUCCAUACUUCCAUUUCGAUCGAGUUGGGUGUCAGCGAGGUGCGCGAUAACAGUUUUCUUUUUUUUAAAAAAAGGAGUUGGUGCUUGUCAAUUCCAUCACGAGGAGGCGUAAUGUUUGUGUGCGCCUUUUCCCCAUCAUGCAUCCAUAAGUCCAUAACACCCGGAGCCUAAAGCACCCGCACAAUAGGCGAUCAAAAUUACACGAGGGUCACAUAUUUUUGGCGACUUUGGGCAUAAAAAAAGCACUACGCAGGUGCGGCAGCGGAUGUGGCACGCACGCCACAAACUGGGCUGAUGUUCGGCGCCGAGCGCUAGACCUUGAGCGUGUGGGUCAACCAAACACGGGGGAAAUUUUUUUUAUUUUUUUACAAUUUUGCAGAAAUAAAUAGUCGAACCAAAAAUUUGUAAACAUGAACCUAUGCCGCCGGACCAAACGGCGGUAGAGUUCCUUUCGCCGGACCAAACGGCGGUAGGGGUUCCUUUCGCCGGUUAAAACGACGGAAGGGUGCCGGCUAGCACGUGCAGCCGUGUUUCGCCGGCUGAAACAGCGGUAUGGGCCUUACCGCUGUUUCCUACGGCGGUAGGCGGCCUACCACCGUUUUAGGUGGGGGUAAGUGCUUACAACCGGUUGGGGAUGCUAUAACCGAUUGAAAUGGCUAUAAGUACCUUUAGCUAUUUCAACUGGCUAUAACUCCAUUUUAAUUAUUUUUCCUUCAUUUUUUAUGACAUUUAUGAAUCUAAAUUAUAUACUUCCAUUGCAAUAUGUAACUUCAUAAUUUGAGGCUAUACCUCCGUUUCAAAUAUUGUUCCUUUAAUUUUUUAUGAUAUUUUUGGAAGUAAAAUAUGUAAAUUCGUAAUUUGAGAGAGGUAGAGUGAUUGAACGAAAUAAUUGAAAAUGAUUUAACUCCCGGCCUAGAUAAAGUAGUCUGCGGAUGACCACACAUCGUACGCUAUACAAUCGUACAUAUGAAAGCGUGCAUCGACGUAAAAAAUAAAAGAGGUCCUACACACUAAAUGCGUCCUUGCUUGAAACGAGGCUCACCGCGACCACGCCUCGUUGCCCACUACGCAGCUCUGGUUUAGAACUGGUCAUACGUCAAGGGCUCCCGUGGGGCAACGUCAUGAGGCGGACGUCCUGCUACAGCCGCAGGUGGUGUCGCGAAGUCCUGGGUCGCGCCCUAUGUAGGAGCCUCCGGGGCGUCACGCAACUGCGAAGCAUCGAUCACAUCAGGCUCGGGUCUCAACAUUUCGUCCACCCAAGUAUGGACACUGGACCUCUGUCCCUCCUCCUUGAGGGAGUCCUCCGAAACCCUCCACGAUAUGCAAACCCUGUCAUGCAACCAACGAAAUGGUAUUGUUAGUUUCGUUGCGUAUUUAAAAUAGAAUAGAAUAUAUGUAUUCAUCAUGCACCAUAGUGGUGUAGCUCUGUACCUGGUGCAGCAGAAGAGGGCCCUGCUCCACUAUAAGCUUUGUACAUAUGCGGGGGUGUGUUAAGAAAUUAUUAGUUAGUAAGGUUAAUUGGACAACAUUUUGUCAAUGGUGUAUGACAAAAUAACGUUCACUUACCUGUCGGGGUCAGGUAACGCGGAACAAUGGACGGGCUGGAGGGGGCAUACCAAAACGGCGGUGGUGCCGGUGUGGCCUAGGACGGCUCGGCCGCUGGUGCAUGUGCCUGUGGUGCGGUACAGGGGUCGGGGAACGGCGGACGAACGGGUGGCUGAGAGGACGUACCGGCCUGGUGGGUAGGAGGUGGAGAGGACGAAUGAGGGUAGGCAGCCCAUGGUAGAAGCACGAUAUCCCCGCGAUCGCCACGGCAGCUGACGGCCCUCAGGAACCUAUUGCGGGCGCCUAAGGCCCUCUUGUACGGUGUCUCGUGCUGAUGAUUAGUCAGCUGCUGAAAGUGCUCGAUGCCGUACAUCAGCUCAGUGGCUACCUCUGCAGUAACGUCGUACUUUUGGGAAGAGGACAGGGUUGAAGUUAGCCACACCACAUGAUGCAAGUUGAGUAACAAAAAUGAUGAAGAAGCUUACCGCGAUAUCGAAGUUGACAUCCCUCGAGCGCGGGUACGUCUGCAUGAUAGGCGCGGUCUCCAUCGAUGGCUGACUCGCAACGUACGUGACCCGUGUCCUGGUCCUUGGCAAGAACCCUCGAAGGUAUGCUGCGAAUGCAUCAUCAUCGUGCGCACGGUCCUCCUGCACCACCUCAUCUAAAGCGGUCGUCCACAUCUUGACCCACUGAAGCAUCCUCGGAGCCCACUAGACCCCCAGCCCACCACCACCACCACCACC
rnacentral:lncRNA from 1 species